GCCUUGUCCUUGCUUCCUUAUUUUUAUUUUUAUUUUGUAAUAUGAGAUAAUAUGAAUUAAAUAAAAUAAAUUUAAUUUUCAAAAAGUCUGACAGGUAGAUGUAGUUGAAAUUGGUAGUGCUUAGAUGAACCUUGAUAUGCAAAAUCUCCUUAGACGUGCCAUCAACCACAUUAGAUGGGCCCCACCUAUAUUUGGUGUGUGGUUCAUAUCAACAAGGUUAUCAUUUCACCUACCCAGAUAUGCACAUGUAGCUAGGCUUGUCCAAAUUUGCUUUGUGCAGAAAAUGCCAUUUAUCUGAUUAAUUUUUAUUCAACAUCACAGAAAGUAUAUUUGAAGUUUCGAAUCGUAUUUGCUUUGAAAUGGGGUGUGGCAUGUGGUCAACACAGCACAGCAUGGUGAAUACCAUGUGCGUCGAAUGACUGACACACAUACUAGUAUUGAUUCGUGCAAUGGGCUAAAGCUGCUAAACCAUCGUUCACUGAAUCGUCCCGAAUCGGAUGGUUUCGGACGUUCUGAGCCGUACCGGUGGCAAACUGGGACGGUUUGGAUGGAUAAAUCGAAAUACCCAAUGGGGGGAGAGGGAAAGAGAGGAAGGGAGAGAGGAGGGGGGGAAGAUUGGCAGCCGCCGCUGCCGGAGGCCAGCGGAGGCCCACUGAGGCCAUCGGAAGGCCACGGAGGCCUCUGCGGCUCGGGUAUAGCCUGGUAAGAUGUUCAAAUGAGAGAGAAAGAGAGAGGGGGAGCGAUAGUACCAGAGGGACGUAUAGUUGGUGAAGAGGCCAUCGGAGGCCGCCAUGCAGCCGACCACAUUUUUUUUUUUUAACCUUUAAGUGAAGUCGGCAAUGUUUUUUUUAAAAACCUUUAAGUGAAGCUGGCAAACUCGUUGCCGGCUUCAAUGUAAUCUCUAUUUUAAAAAAAAAACCCCGUGAAACAUGGGUGCGCCCUUCUUUCACGCUUGUGGCCCUGCAGGCGUUGACUACGCCAUUGGACGGCCACGACAGCUGGCCAGUGGCCCUCCGGCGGCUUCUCCUCCCUCCUUUUCUUUCUUUCUUUCCCUCUCUCUCUAUCUCUCUUUCUUUCUCUUUUCCUCCUCCCCCGCUCCAUUCUUCUCUCUUGUGUCGAUUUGCACUGGUACAGUCUGGUACGGACCUGUACUGGCUUGUAUCGCCAGCCGGUCAGCACGGGGACUGGUUCCAGUUCUGGCUCCUGCUUCUUUGCGCUAAACAAUGCUUUUAAGUGCCAACCUGUACUGUGUUGUAUGGGACAUGCUGUACUAACCUGAUGUGGGAGCUCCAUAUCCCCCUCAACCAACACAUGGCACAAGUGUAUGUUGACUCCGGUAACAUACCAUAUGCUGGUAUAGAAGCAUACUGUACUGCACAAUUGCUGGUAAACUAUUGGCACAGGGCUUGAUAUUUAGACUUAAAAAACAGUUUUAAAGCUAGUACUACAAUUUGUCCCUGUUAUGAUUAGAACUAGCCCAAUAAGUAAUCCAGGUAGAAGAAUUAUCCUAAAUUUAUGGAUUUGUAAUACAGUGUUUUUCUUAUUGAGAUACUGUUUCCUAUGGUGGUUAUUUGGCAUUGGCCAGCUUGGUAAUGGCUUGAGGAAUAGCUAGUUUAGCAUGUAUAAGCCUUACUAUUGUAAGGGUCAUAUUGGUGUGGUGUCCAACCUCAUCCUUAGCUAUGGACAUUUACUAUAAUUUGAAUCUGGAUUUAUUGAGCAUGCAAUGUUUGAGAUGUAAAGUAAUUUUAAGAUUUUUCUACAAAAAUCUGAAUGUAAUUUAUACUUCAGAAGAUUUUUGCAUGAGGAUCAAAUUCAUGAUUGUGUUAGCUAAAGAGCAUUGCUAACUUGAAUCUCAUAAUAAAAGUCAUAUGUUUUAGUCUCAGAGCAUCUCACCUAAAAUGACACUGAAUAACACUUAAGGCUUCAACAGACAGAUUCAUUUUCGAGUGUUACACAUACUUGUCUGUGUUGUUGCAGUGAGACUUGGUCUCUCUCUCUCUCUCUCUCUCUCUCUCUCUUUUUGACGACAUGCACUGAGUAUUUUGAAGCUGGAAAACCCAUAAUCAUAAUAAAUUGAACAAGUGUUCAUGAUACAAUUGUGAAUGCUCUUUUCUAAUUAUAGGUUGUGUUGUUACCAUCAGCCUUAGCCUUUUUUUUAAAAAAAAAAUCGUUCCUUGUUUUUUUCUUUGACAACAUGUGCUGAGUGGAGUUGAAAGAAACUAUCAUCACAUAAAAGUUGAACAUGUGUUAAAGACAUAAUCAUGUUUCCAUGCUGAUUACAAAACAUUGUGCACAAGUGCAGUUGUAUAAAUCUUUCUCAUGUUGUUACAUAAUGCAGCUCAUGGUAAACAAUCAAGCUAGAAAUGUUGGAACUGUGUGAAUGGUUUCUUGACUUGAUUUGAGACCAAGUUGAUUUGAGGCCAGAAUUAUUUGCCUAAUGAUAUUAUGAUUAUGAUGUAAUUAUUAAUAUAACAAACCUUUCAUUAUUACAAUAAAGUACAACCAAUUCUUGUUCGCAUGAAUCUCACUUAAGGAAAUCAAUAAAAAGAACAUAUUCUAUUAAAGCUUAUGUUGAUCACUUUUGUUUGGCCUAUUUGAUUUACAGAAGAAUUCAUUAGUAUGGCUUGAAAUACAAACAAUAUGUGGAACAUUGACUAGGAGAAUAUGCAUUUAUUUUAUUCCAUUAUUAAUCAUGGUGUGUCAUUGAUGAUGACUAAAAGCACUAAAAGUGCGUGGGUAUUCAAAGUAAUCCUUUACUAGUUAGUGACAAAAUUUGGAUCUUAGAUUGUUCAGUGCCAUCAUGUUUGGAUUUUCCGUAUUUUUUUCUAUAGUUUGAUUAACUUUGAUCACUAUUAUCAUCAAAUCUGCUUAAUAUGUACCUUAAGUGGCUAGAAUGUUUUAAUCCACAUCCAAAAAUGUAGACUCUUUUUGUUGAAUGGUGAGAGGUAUUUGCACAAACACUGGAUUGUACUUAUAAGCUGAAAUUUUGCAUCAUCGUGUGAUAGGUUCCUUCCAUUUUUUUUUUUGUUAUAAUGAAGCCAUAAGUUACUUUUUCCGCAUCUCUCCUCUUCUUUCAAAACUUGUUCCAUAUCAUAUUUGCCUGUUAUGUAUAGUGAAGGUCUGAAUUGUAAUCAAACUAUUUCACAUUCUCUAGCAUGUUGCGGACAUUUUUGCCGCCUGAUGAUUUGUCUCCUAGUUUUAUCCUAUUCCUCAGGUGAUAAGAAGAACUGUUUCUUCUGACUUCAUUUGAGAUCAAAGCCAUAAAAAUAUCUUCUGUCCUAAACUGCUGGUAUACUAGUAAUAUUGUAUUGGAAAUUUAACACUUGGUUCUUUGUUUGACUUUCAUUUAUGUUUAUCUCAUAUGUACUAAAACAAGGAGAUGAGGAGAAAAAGAAACUAAGGAUAAUAUAAGGGCAUAUUUAUUAGGUGAAGCUGCUCAAAGUUUCUCAAUGGUAUUUUUAGGAAAAUAAUGACAUAGACUUUUGAUCUAUUAUUACAAAAUUCAAAACUUUCAUUUUAAGUAUUUUAUAGAAAGUUUUUUAACUUUCAUUUGCCUUGUAUGGACUGUGUUCAUUUUUUCUGUUAAUCAGUUUAAUGUCUAGUUGCAGAUAUAUGGUAUAGUCAUUCAAGGAUGACUUAUGCAUGCAUCAAAACUAAGAUUUGAAACUAGGUAUUUGUGGAAUUGUGGUCAACUUUGCAAGCUGUUAUGAUGCUUUAUCUAUCAGAAUACCUCUAUAGUUAAGAUGAGAUUGAAAGCCAAUUGAAAUUAUCUCAUUAAUUUUGAGUAGGACAAAAGAUGACUCACAAGACUGGGUAUUCAGUUCAUGUGAAGCCAAAAUAGGACAUGAUUUGGCCUUCUUUUCUGAGGUAUGUUCUCUUUCUCUCUCAUCUUCUUUGCAAUGAUUGUUUUCUAUGUUUUCUCUAGCUAUUUUCUAUUUUUGAGUUGCAUCUUUUAUCAGCAUAAGGACUAGCUUUGGUUGAAGCAACAAACAGCAGUGCUCUAAAAACUGUAACACAAACCAUAGCCUUCAACUUUGCCGCAAAUGCCCAGCUAUCUUGAGAAUGAUUUAUCAGUCCUCAUUAACCAAUCAUUCUAUUAGGGACCUGUUAAUUUUAUGAAUGAAGCCCUAGCAUUGACUAUCACUGAAUAAGGAAUUACCAUAUAGUUUCAGUUUCCAUAUAUGAUACGCUUUCAGUUUAACACUAUCCCUCAACUUUUUUCAUCGAGCUUUGGGCUUGCUGUUGACAAUGUUGGUUAUGCAUUUCUGUGACAAGAGAUAAAAAUUUCUGAUGAUUUUAAACUUAUAUUUGUAGACUUGUUCAUAAAAUGCAAAGUCAAUGGUCAAAUUUGAUGAUAUUACAAGAAUUUGUAACAAAGAGACGCUUUUCUUUAUGUUAAUGUUAAUACUCUGAAGUCUAAAUUUUGAUUUAAGCAUCUAUAUUUUAUUUUUUUUGUUAAUUUAUUUUUCAUGAAGAAAACUUUCUCUAUCUCUGGGUAUAUUUAAAUUCAUUCUUUGUACCGAUUCUACCCAUUUCCUUUUUUACGUCAUCCAAUAAUAAACGCAACCAGAUAUGUCACUCACGACUUGCCUAGAUUUCAGUUUGUUUUGGACAAAUGGCUAAAUUUACAAUCGCAAUUUGCCUGGUUUGGUCAAGUCUCAUGUUUGAAAACCAUGUAUCUCAGAUGAAACAAUCCAUGUUUCAGCAUGAUUGGAUCGAACAAAACCUUAAGAUGUUGGCUUAACUUUUUAUUUGGGACAAGGAAUACUCCAAAGUAUUUACAUGCUGGGGUUAUGAGAUGGUACAACCUUUCCUUAUUCUUGAUCAUGUAUUAUGUUAGAAUUUGUUUCCAUCUCGCACUUGUGAGCCAUUAACUUUGCAAUGCUUUGCCACACAUCCUGAGCCCCUGCUUCUUUCUUUGCUAUAUUCAUCUUGCUGCAAAAUUUAGAGUUGUUUUAGUUAAAGUAUCAUUUCUUUUAUAUAUGGUGUCAUUAGCUUAACACCUUUCUCCCAAUCAACUUUAUUUCAUCAGUAGAUAUUAUUCAUCAUAGUCAUUCCAUUACUUGUUUUGUAAGUAAUUGAAGUCUAAACCUUGUGUAGAAAGUUUAUGAGCCAAUUGCCUUGUUUGGAAGUCAAUAGCUCAAUAUUAGCAAGAUAUUGAAGCUAAGGAGAUUCAGUGUGAGAUGCCAAAGAAUUGUUAGCUGGUUUCUAACUUUUCUUAUUUACUUGUAUAUAUUUAUAAUUAAUUGUUUAAUAUGUGGUUUAAAAAUUUUCUUCAUUUAUUCUUGAAUAUGAUUUUUGUAUUAGCACAAUUUUCCUGUAUCAAAUUUUCAAUAGUUUUAGUAAUUUCCAACAUGACGUGGAUCACCUCACAGCAUCUUCCAAUGCUUCUUUUUUUUCCCAGGACUUGUUCUGUUACUGAAAACUAGAAUGUGCGACUUUUGUGUAUAUUAUUUUAUAUAAAUUCCUACAGCUCUUUCUAUGGUUUUUGCUUAUAUGCAAGUCAUAUUUACCAAUUGAUGUUGCCAUCUUUUCGACCAUACUUUGCAUUAGGUGGCGAUUCAAACAGAUAGUUGCUACAAUAUCUGUGUCUUCUGCCAGUGUCCUGGAUCCCACUUGUGAGUAACGUGUAUCACUUUGUCUUGCUUAUUUAAUUUAUGUAAUCCAUUGGCUUUUUCUUUUGAUUGUGCUUGCUUUAAUGGGCUCUUACCCUAUAUUAUCUUAUCUCAGCAAUGCCAUUUUGAUGUGUUCAUUUCUCAUAACAACUAAGAUAAUGAGCAUUUCUAUUUGGAUACAUUAGAGACAAAUGUGAUCACCAUUUACAAUCUCAAUACCAAGGAGGUGGGGACCAUACCGGUCAGGUAUUGAUAUGGUACCUAACUGAACCAUACUGACACUCAGUUUGUAGAAGCGUACUGGUUUGGUACUGAUUUACUAUUUUUUUCCCCAUUUCUUCAUAUUUUAUGUUUAAGAUUAUUUUAAGCUUUAUGGAUCUUUGACUUUAAUGGUGUUUUGAUAAUAUUUUAUUUUCUGUUGGUCUUGGGAGACCUGUGAUUUUGUAAUGGAUGCAAUUGAAACAAUGUAACAUAGAUUUGUAACAAUGAAGCAGAAACAACGCAUAUCUUUAAGCUUGAAAAUAUGUGUAUCAAAUUGAUUUGAAUUUCAAAAUACAUGUCAGCAUCUAGUCCUUCAAGGAGUGUCUGUUUGCUUCAUAAACGUCAAGAUGAUGUUCAUAGGUGGUGCCUUGGACUUGAGUCCAAUCAAGAUACCAUGCCCAUCCCAACUUUUGAUAAUCUAGGCCUUUUAGAUUUCACCUUGGUACCAAUUGUCUAUAUGAUACUGGGCUGGCCUUUGUUGGAUGCAUAGGUCACCCUUAGAUCUAUAGCAUAUCAUGAAAUCAUGCCAAAAUACAAAAUUUUGGUAUAAUCCCCUAUUUUUACUAUUUUUUGACCUAUUUUAGGCAUAAAGAUGAAAAAAAGGAGAAGAAUGAAGAGGAGGGAUUGGAUUAUACCUGAUUUGGCUUGGAUUUGGGCUAAAAACCAACAAAUCUCCCUUCUCUCCUAAUUUUUCCUUACAAAAGCCAUCCUUCCCUUUAUUGUUUGAGAAGAAAAGAGAGGAGAAUGACAUCCUGUGGCCUUCUCUCUUUUUUGUCAUGGAAUGUGACUUGAACCUAGUCAUACUAAGCAAAAUGGGGCGACUCCACUUGGGUUAGAGUGGCUUAGGCCAGCUUGCACCAAGCCCCGAACUGAUAGGCCAGCUGACCUUGUUCCACACUUGUUCAGUUAAUCGAUUUGUUAUGCCCUGAACCAAGUGGUUCGAGUUAGUUUUGCAAACCAUGAGUGUGAGAAUAGGACUGCAUAUGUUUCCAUGUUCACUAGAUUGGAAUACUUUUCACAUUGAAAAAUGAAUUUCUUUCAUCUAAUUAGAUAUAAUAUGGUGAUGCUGCAUUCAAAGUUUUGUUCAAUUGUCAUCUAAACUCUGCCAAUCUAAAUUAGUUAUUUGAAAACUAGGCUUGCAAUCAUAUCUGCACACUUAAAAUUUUAGCAUGCCCUUAUCGUGAAACUUUUUGGAUAUUUUUACCAUACAAAUGGAGAUAUUUAUAUAAGUAAAUUUAUAAAUAAAUGGAACCACAAUUUGUCCCAUUUUACCCUAUGGUUUCCAAGGAAAAUAUCAGUCCCUGAAUGAUACAAUCUAAAUAAUAACAAUGGGGGAAAUAAGUUUUGAUAGCUAAAUAAAUUUCCCAUUGGUAAUCAUUAUUGAAGCUUCGAAUUUUAAGAUAAUAUAAAUGUAAUCUAAUUAUAUACUAGAUAAAGACCACAUUGGGUAUCAAACUUUAAAAUUCAAAUGGUAGCCAAAGUAAUAGUUUGUACUUCUUUAUGGAAGAAGUGCACUUUUGGAUUCAUCCCUAUUUCUUUUUUUCUCCCCUUUAAUUUUGAAUUAGCCAUGUGGAAAUUAGUAAUCCUUCUUACAUUGUCUAAGUGUCAGUUGACUUAGUUCCUAACAAUCUUUGGAUGUGCUGUAUAGUACAGAGCAACGUUUGCCGAACGUCCCAAAUCGGAUGGUUUAGGUUGUGCCAAAUCAUACUGGCGGAAUACCGGCCCAGUUCUGGCGUGAAAAAUGGUACAGUGGCCAUCUCGAAUGGAGGGAGAAGAAAGAGAGGAAGAGAGAGAGGGGGGAGAGAAGGAGAGGGCCUUCGGCAGCUGCCAUAGGCUGUUCGAGCUCUUUCUGAGCUCGAUAACGGUGGAGGAAGGGAAGAAGAGAGAGGGGGAGAUCGUACUGGAUGAUCGGAGGUCCUUGGAGGCCUUCGGAUGGGCGGCGACGCCGCUGCGAGCUCUCCGAUGGCCGGCGAGCUAGCGUCGAGGGAGAUGAGGGUGGCUGAGGCCGGAGGAGGGCCUCUGCCCUCCUCGAAAGAGGGGUUUGUCUCGAUUUUAAAUUUUUCUUCUUGGUUUUUAACGGGUGAAGUCGGCAAUGCAGUUCCUAACACAUUUUUUUUAUAUAAUUUUGGUUGAAGUCUGCAAAUUGCGUUGCCGACUUAGCCCGUUAAAAAUCAAAAAAACUUUGAAAUAGGAGCGAACCCUUAUUACGAUCUGGUGGAGGACGGAGGCCGUCCUAGCCUCGCCCCCCUCAUCUCCCUUGGCACUGGUUCGAUGGCUAUUGAAGAGCUCGCGGCGGCAUUGCUGCCUGUCUAGAGACCUCUAAAGGCCUCUGGUGAUCCGGUAAGAUCUAUUCCUUUCUCUUCUUCCCUCCCUUCGCCUUCACUAACCUCGAAAAGAGCUCAGAUGGCGGUAGAGGCCCUCUCUUCCUCUUCUUCUCCCCCCUCUCUCUCUUUUUCUUCUCCAUCUCCCCUUCUCUGCCUUGUCAAUUUGGCCUGGCACGGAUCGGUACAUAUCCGUACUGAACCAUACCGUCAGUCGGCUGGCACCAAAUCCGGUUCUGGUUCCAGUUCUAGUUCGGCAGUCCUUGGUACAGAGCAUAUCAUACUGGUAGGUACUAAGACUCAGUAUGCCCCUCAUAUCGAGGGCCGUUACCGAGAUAUGUAUUGUACCAAUACUUGGUAUGUGUUGCACUAUUUGUGCACUGGAACGUGACUGAGAUUGAAAACCUUGCUUCAUGAUCUCAGCAAAACCACAUCUUGCCUAAAACGAUGAGGCAUUCAGAUUUUAUGUUGUGCAUCCAUAGCAUUUUUUUUUGAUGUUCUUGUGAAAUUAUUCUUAAAUAAUUUGUUUUACUUGACUGCUUAUCAUCCUAUAUUAUUAGAAUUUGGUAUGUUCUGUAAUCAUAGGUGCUGCAAUGGAAAAGGUUGCAAGAGAAGUUGCCAUCUUUUUUGUCUUGAUCCGCUUUUGAAAGAUGCUCCCCUUGGACUUUGGCAUUGCCCUUUUUGCGUGGAAAAAAGGAUGAAAUCAGGGGUCCACUCAGUGUCUGAAGGAAUGGAAUUUAUUUUGGAUUUCAAAGAGGGUAAGGACCCAUUUGCAAUUAUUGAAUUAUCUUCAGGUUUCCAGCCUUGCUUUCUUAUCCAGUUGGUAUACUAGGAGAAAUAUGAGCAGUUUCACUAGUAAUACCAUAAAUACUAUUGAAACAGAAAUGCAGGAAGAGAAGUAUUAUCUUGUCAAGUAUAAAGGCCUUGCCCACGUUCAUAAUCGUUGGAUACCAGAAAGCCAGAUGCUUCUUGAAGCUCCUAAGCUUGUGGCUAAAUUUAAUAGGAGACUACAGGAAGGAAAGGUAGCCUACAUUUUAUUGUUAUGUUGUGAUCAACAAUUGUCUUCUGGCUAAGUACCAUUUCCUUUGAAAACUCAGCUACAUAUCAUUUGUUUAUGGAGUACAAAUUUAAGUUUAUCAACAGGUCAUAAGGUGGAAACAUGAGUGGGCAAAACCUCACCGUCUGCUGCAGAGAAGAUAUUUAAUGCUCCCAGAACUGGCCGACGACAGUCUUUCUGGAUUUUGCCACCAGGAGUGGCUUGUGAAAUGGAAAGGUCUUGGUUAUGAUGAAGCUACAUGGGAAUUUGAGAAUUCAGAAUUUUUGUGCUCACUGGAAGGUAUCGCACUGAAAAAAGGAUUAUGAAAGACGCCGUGAGGAGGCAAAGAAAGCAUCUGAUCCUUCAAACACUGACAAGGUGGUUUACAUACUGCCAAUAAAUAUAACUCUUUUUUUUUAGUGCUUAUGCAUGGUCUAUUAAUCAAUAGGUUCUGUUGAAAGUGCAAAGCAUUACCUUUGUUUCCCUUCCUUUGAGAAACACAUGGUUGUUUAUUGAAGUAUACAAUGUCCAAGCGGAGUGGAUGUGGUUUCCUGUGUAACUGACAUAUCAGAAACAGAUUUUUGCGGUGUAAAUUUAUGGAUUUUUGUAUGUUUAAAAAUGCAUAAUGGAAACAAGAAGUAACAUCUUGUAUGACUGCAUGUCUUUAACAUGCCUGAUUUUAUGGUCCACCGAAUCUGGUGUAGCUGUUACUUGAGCCAUCGAGUGAUGAAUCUCAUUGUGUCUUCGCUUGCUAGUCUUAUUGGUACAUUACUGGGACCUUUUGGUUCACUAAAAAGCACCCACAACGGACACUUAGAAAUGGGUAUUGAUAUAAUACUUGGGUAUGAAGUAUGAACACUUAAGAAAUAAUUGUUAAAUAUUAGAAUUAUCUAACACUUAGACAUAUAUGCACUGGAGACUCGUAUGCAGGUCCGAGUAAUAUAGUCUAUUGGUGAAAUUGCUCUUCUUAGUUGGAUACCGACUUCCAAUGAUCUUUAUCUAUUAUUAUAUUGGUCAGAUGACUAUAAUGCCUGAAUUUGUUGAUAAUGCCUGGUUACUUAUGUAAUUGUUCCAAUAAUUUGAUUUAGUGCCACCUAGUUGUUCAGACAAUUUAUCAUCAAAAUCAUGAUCUUGAAUUGAUGGGAAGCAUGAUCUCGCUUUUUCUCAAAGUGAUAUCUAAGAUGUCAUGUGGUUAACCUACCUAGCGAUGUCAAAUGAAUUUGAUGGAAGUUGAUAGUAGUAUAAGAGGCCGACCUUAAAUAGAUGGGAUAUGGUUGGAUGGUAGUUGUUGUAACUCGUGAUAAUAAGUUGACACCACUUGUUUCCAAUUUGAUAAUAAGAAAGCUUUCUUUAUUUUAUCCUUUCUAACAACAAUAGUUUUCAUGUGCUGCUUUAUGAUUCUAAAUUGAUUGUCUCUAAAUUGAUUGUCUUUAGUAUUUGUUGCUUCACAAUAUUAAGCUUGGAUGUAUUCUUCUGCUUUUUCAUCAACCUUCAUAGUUGAUCAAGGAGGAUCACUGUACCUUUUAUGGGCCACUUUGGCUACUUCAAGUUGGCCUAGAUAGGGUUUGGGACCAAUAUCCACCACAUCCAUGCCUCGAUCUCGAAUCAAGACUAUAGUUAGCUUCAUUUAGGUCCAGCAGGACAUUUCGCGGAAAAUCUGUUAGAAAACUGGAUAGGCAGCAUGUGUAGAUUUCAAAACUUUGAAAAUAGAUAGCGGAAACAAAUCGGGUUAAACCUUUUAACUCCAUAUGCAAGAUACCAGAUCUAAACCUACUCAAGUCUAGGAGAAAGCACAUAUUAUCAAUCUGGAAUUUAAAAAAAUUUAUGAGAUCAGAUCUUAUUACUUUGGUGCGGGUAGCUAUUCACCGUUUCUGAUGAUCUCAGAUUCGUAUAAGGUUGAGCUGCACAUGUGUCCGGCCUCUAUAGGUAUCCAUCGGGAUCAAUCUUAAAUUUUUUUCUUCGUAGAAGAUUCUUCUUCUCAAGAAGAACUUUGGCCUUGAAGAUUUUGAUCAACUCCUUUGAUCUUAACUACGAGAUCAACUCCUUGAUCUGCAGUCUUCUUCUUCUUUUCCUCGAUUUUUGAUCUCUAAGUCAUCAAUACUUCUUCUUGGCGUGUGGAAGAGAGAACACCCAACUUUUGGGCAUGGAAAUGAAGAAAAUGAUGAGAGAAGGUGUGGAGAUGGAGAGGGAGGAAUUUUGUUGAUAAAAAAUUCAUUCUUUGAAACCCUAGAGACCUUCCUUUUAAAUAGAUACUACCCUGACUCUUGGUGCCCCACAAAGAGAUCUUUAGCCAAAAAUAAUGGGGCGUGGAUGCCACUCUCUCCACGCCAUGACACGUAAGAGGGGUGGGCCCCUCUAGGAUAUGGCAUCCAAAAUUUUUCAAAAAGAAAAAGAUGUGUCACCCAAUCUUCUAUCUAUUCUACAUGCAUACUUAGAGAUAAUCAGGAGAUAAAGAAGAGAUAAUGUUAGGAUAAUUAUGCUAACUAGUUGACUUGAUCAAAUCCUCUUGGGCUCACAAUUAAGAGCCCAAUUAAACCUAAAUGAAUUUAGGCUAGGUUCAAGGUCAUGGACUUGAUCAAAUUAAAGUCUUGAGAAGAAUUAGGUUUAACCGUAUGCUAGCAUGGUUCUCAUAAAUCUAAUAGAAUUUCAAUCAAUCCUAAUCCAAUUAGAACUUCAUAAGUCCAACUGGCAAAUUUGAGAUUAAAUCUUUUAAUGUGUGAUCCCAUAGGUUUCAUUCUAUCUGGUAGUGAGAUAUAUUAUGAUCUCUAUCACAAUAUCAUCGAAACUCUUUUUGAUAGAUUGGAACAUUUUCAAUUCUACUCUUCGAGGGCCAUCGAUCAUUAAGAUGAUGUCCGAUGAGUCUUACAAUCCAUCAGUGACACUUAGCAGUAUGUAGUGGCAAUCCAGUAGAAUAAAAGUACGAACCUUUAGGUGCAGUUAUCGUAUGAUUCAGUUUUUUAUCGUGACUCCCGAUUUGACGAAGGUCAUGGAGAACUCGUCAAAUNNNNNNNNNNNNNNNNNNNNUUUUUCAGUAUUUACUCUUGCUUUGGUCAAAGACUUUCUGAACUCAGUCUCGUAAAUCGCAUAGGUCUUUUCUUUUUCUAUCAAGAUCGAUAGAUCCCAUCUAAGUACAUUUUACUUCGAACAGCGAAUCUGAAUUUACUGAAGCCAACAUACGUAGUAAGGAUUCAAAUGGCUAGGGACUAAAAGAACGUGCAGUCAAAUCCAGUAGCCUCGCUGCGAAUAGUCAAUGCCACCGUAGGUCAAAGGGCCACUCACACCACUGCAGCAUCGAGAAAAUCACUGACGAGUGAGUAGACAUCCAUGUGAUUUUCGUGUUGGUUACGUUCAGUGCAAGUUGUUCUCUAACAAUCACCUACACCUUCAUUCCAGUGUCUCUACACCGCAGAUCCGGAACUCAUCUGUCCACAAGAGAGGUGAACCGUGUACCGAUUUCAAAUGGAUUGAUCACUGUUCUCCAUGAUGAUCUUUUGACUGGGAGCAUUUAGAAAUUAACCACUAAUUAAUAUAUGUCUCAAAUUUUUAACUUUUUAAGAAUAUACAAAAAUUAUUUUUGUUAAUUUCUAAGAUAAAUCAUGGACACAUAAACAUGAUUGGAAUGAAAAAAUCUUUUAUUGAUAAUAAAAAGAUUAUAAGUACAAGCUCAGGUCCUAGAAUUACAUAAUGUGUCAGCUAACAAUUGGUUUUUAGGGUACAAAUCCAACAAACUCUCACUUGAUCUAAAGCUAAUUGGCCAUAUACCUAAGAUCUAUCUUCUCAAGGUGAGCUUCAGCCUUCUGUUGUUUGAGAGGCUUGGUCAGCAGAUCCGCCAUGUUCAGCACGGAAUCGUCUCUCUGCACUUCGACAAACUUCUUCUCGAGGUAUUCGCGUAUGAUGUGAAAUCAUCGCUCUAUGUGCUUGGACUUCUGGUGUGAUCGGGACUCCUUAGCGAGGGUUAUGGCAUCGUUGUUGUCACAGUGUAGUGCAAUGGCAUCUGAUAUUAUCACAUCUAGCUCCGCAACGAACUUUUUGAAUCAAAAAGCUUCCUUAGUAGCUUCAGAGGUGGCGAUGUACUUGACUUCCAUGGUCGAAUCUGCAAUGAUCAGCUGUUUGAAAUUUUUCUAGCUAACCGCACCAUCAUUACACAAGAAGAUACACCCCGAUGUGGAUUUUUUAUCAUCGACAUCAGUCUUAAAGACUGAAUCAGUGUAUUUCUCAACUUUUAGCUCCGAUCCUCCACUAAAGAUCAACAUCAAAUUCAUAGUCUUUUUCAAGUACUUAAAGAUGUUUUUAACAGUAAUCUAGUGUUGUUCACCUGGAUUUGCUUGAUAUCUACUCGUGACGCUCACAACAAGUGCUAUAUCAGGGCGUGUGUAUAACAUGGCAUACAUGAGGCUCUCUAUUGCCGAAGCAAAAGGGAUCUUGCUCAUGCGCUAGAUCUCCUCAGGUGUGUCAGGACACAUCUUCUUGGAGAUGAAUGCCAUGUCUUAGAGGCAAAAGAUCCAUUUUGGAGUUUUCCAUGCUGAACCUCUUCAGCACCUCCUCUAUGUACAUAUGCUGUGAGAGUCCUAUCAUUCUCUUAAAUCUAUCUCUAUAGAUCUUUAUACCAAGAAUAUAGGAAAUUUCUCCUAGGUCUUUCAUGGCGAACUCUUUUGACAAUCAUACUUUGACCAACGUCAGCAUGGGAAUAUCAUUCCCAAUCAGGAGGAUGUCGUCCGUACAAUAUGAGGAAUGUGACAGUGCUUCCACUGACCUUUUUGUACACACAUGGCUCAUUAUUUUUGAUGAAAUCAAACAUUUUGAUCACAUCAUUGAAGCGAGUGUUCCAACUCCGAGAUGCUUGUUUGAGUUUAUAUAUGGACCUUUGCAGCUUGCAGAUCUUGUGAUCGCUAUCACUGGACGUGAAACUUAGAGGCUGCUCAAUAUAUAUAUCUUCCUUAAGAUAUUCAUUUAGGAAGGCAGUUUUCAUAUCCAUCUGUCAGAUUUCAUAAUCAUGAAAUGUUGCUAUGACAAGUAGAGUACAAAUGGAUUUCAGCAUAGAUACGGGUGAAAAGGUUUCAUGAUAAUCGAUGCCUUCACGUUGACUAUAAUCUUUCGCGACUAGUCUUGCCUUAUAGGUCUCUACCUUACCAUCCGAUCCAAUCUUCUUUUUGUAAAUCCAUUUACACCCAAUAGGUAUAAUACUUUUAGGUGGAUCUACUAAGGAUCAAAUCUGGUUGGAAUGCAUGGAGUCGAUUUCUGACUUCAUCGCUUUCAUCUAUUUUUCGGAGUCUACAUCUAACAUUGCCUCAUCGUAGGUUUUGGGAUCAUUCCUAAUGUCCCUAUCUCCCAUCAGGAAUACUUCUUCUAAAUCUUCUGUAAGAAUAUCUAAGUAUCUUUCAGAAGGAUAGGAUAUCCUACUUGAUCUACGAGGUGGAGGAGGUAUCACAUCUACUGGCUCAUUAUUGGGUUCAGGUUCUUGGACUCGAUGCUCUCCAGAGACUCUUCGAGUUUAAUCUUCCUCCCACUGCCUCCAUCUUGGAUAAACUCUUUUUUCAAGAAUAUGGCAUGAUGGCUCACAAUCACAUUAUGAUCCUCAGGAAGAUAGAAGUAGUAUCCUAUGGUUUUCUUAAGAUAUCCUAUAAAACGAGUCUUAAAAGAUCUAGCCUCUAACUUGUCCGCCUGCUGUCGCUUGACAUGGGUCGGACAUCUUCAAAUCUUGAGGUACCCAAAAGUUGUCUUCUUACCAUGCCAUAACUCAUAUGGUGUGGUAGGAACAGAUUUAGAGAAAAUCCGAUUCAAGAGAUGAAUCAUAGAAAGCAAAGUAUGUCUCCAGAGAAAAUCAGGAAGGUCUAUAAAGCUCAUCAUGGUUCGGACCAUAUCUAAUAGGGUCUGAUUCUUCUUUUCGGAUACUCUGUUGAGCUGAGAUGUCCAUGGAGGUGUCCACUGUGAGACUAUGCCAUUGUCUUUGAGAUAGGUCCGAAAUUUUUCAUUAAGGUAUUUUUUUCCUCGAUCUGAUCGAAGAAUUUUUAUGGGUUUUUCAGUUUGUUUUUCUACUUCGUUUCUGAAUUUUAUGAACUUUUCAAAAGCUUCAGACUUUCGGUGUAUCAGAUACACAAAAUCAUACUGUGAAUAAUCAUCGGUAAAGAUUAUGAAGUAGAUAUAGCCGCCCUUAGCUUGUACAUCAAAUGGACCACAUACGUUAGUGUGUGCUAGGGCUAAUAUCUCAGUGGCCCUUUCUCUUUGUCUUACAAAGGGCAGCUUGGCCAUUUUUUCUUGAAGACACGAUUCACAGACGGGAUAAGACUCGAAAGUCAAUAAUCCAAGAUGACCAUUUUUCUCCAGUUUGUUGAGUCUGUCCUCUCCAAUAUGGCCUAGCCUAAGGUGCCAUAAAUAUUUAUGGCUAAUCCUAUCUCUAGGUCUCUUAGAUCCUAAGGCAUUCACAAUUUGCUUGUUAAUGUUUAUACUUGCAUCGGUAUGCAAAUGGUAAAGACCGUCAAUCAAGAAAGCACGUGCCACAAGUUUAUUUCCAAAAUAAAUAGAACACAUGUCUUUAUUGAAAUGAAAAUUGUAAUUAUCUUGUGCCAGUACAAAGACAGAAAUCAAAUUUCGACUAGCUACAGGUACAAAGUAACGGUCCUUUAAAAGCAAACUAAAUCCUAACGAUAGUCGCAGAAGGUAGGUUCCGACGGCCACAGCAGCAACUCUUGCUCUAUUGCCGACUCGAAGAGUGAUCUCGUCUUUUCUCAGCCCCCUAACUUCUUCAAAACCCUACAUUGAAGUGCAUAAAUGAGCACUCGAACCAGAAUCAAGAACCCAACUAGAAGAAGAAGAAAUCGUUAUAUUAGUUUCUAUAACGAGCAACUCUGACGUACCUUCAGAAGGUCCAUCUUUCUUUCUGUUCUUGACAGUCGUCAGGUAGGUCGGACAGUUUCUUCUCCAGUGGCCUUCGACAUUACAAUGAAAAUAUUUUUCUUUAUCGUCGGCCUUCUUAAGAACCUGUUUUUUGGGCUUGGCUUCGUUCUUUUUCUUCUUUACGGGCUUUUUCUUCUUCUUGAAAGAAGACUUCCUUUUGGAGGAAGCUUGCUCCACAGCCAGAACUGUGCCUCUUGAACUCUUCAAGAUGCCCUCUGCAGUCACCAGCAUAUUCAAUAACUCUGGCAAAAGGGCAUCAAUCUUAUUCAUAUGGUAGUUCAUAGUGAACUGCCCAUAUGAAUCAGAAAGAGACUGGAGGAUUAGAUCCACCUACAGUUCUUUGUCCAUAUUCAUAUCGAGCUUCUGAAGCUCCUCUAUGUCCUUGAUCAUUGUCAAACAAUGAUCAUUGACGGACUGUCCAUCACGCAUUUUCAUUCUGAAAAGUCUUCUGAAGACCUCAAAGCGAGCUGUGCGACUCUAUUCACCAUACAAUUCUUGCAGGUGAACCAGCAUCUCUCUGGCAGUCCUCGUGUCUUCAUGCUGUUACUGAAGAUCAUUGGACAUGGAUGCUAAGAUAUAGCACUUUGCCUUAUAAUCUUUAUCCAUCCACUUCUUAAGUGCAGCUCGUUGAUCAGCAAAUGGGCGAGCAAGUAACGUGGGUGCUUCCUGGUCGAGGAUAUGGGUGAGUUUUUCAGAAUUAAGAACGAUUCUCAGAUUUUGGAGCUAGUCUUUGUAAUUGGUGUCGGUCAACCUAUUUGUAUCAAGAAUUCGGACUAAGAGGUUUGAACUCGACAUGAUUAUCUGCAGAGAGAACAGUUUCUAGUUAGAUUUUGUACUUAUAAUAUUGUUUGUUCUAGGGACUUAAAAAAAAAAGGCUCUCAUUAUUUUUUUUGAAUCUUCCACACCUCGGGUGGAGAAAUGAAAAUCUAUACGUGAUCGGUUUUAAGUGGGUACUGCGGUCCCAUUAAUCUAUACACACCUUACCUAACAGUUAUUGGUGAGUACAGACCAAUGAGUAGACAAUAUUUUGUCCAUUGCUUCAUUAAGUAAGAUGCAGUGGGCUUGGUCUCUAAGUUCUGUGGCCUCACCUAACAGUUAUUGGCACAUUCUUUAGUUAAGUCAGACCCAUCGUUUACCAGCGGGAGCAAAGCCGUCAUUGGGAUCCUCACCUAACAGUUAUUGGGCCCAACCCCAUCUCUACCUCGGGACAUCAAAUGUCAAUAGAGUGGUUGUACCUUUUCGGUGCAAUCGAAUCACUGUAACCANNNNNNNNNNNNNNNNNNNNGGAUUUAGGCCUCUUCUAAAUUAGCAAUUCUGACAUCCGACUGAUUAAAUUAGGUCAGCACAUCAAUAUGUCUCACCAACCUAGUUGACAUGGAUGAACUUGAGUCAACAAGUAACCUAACACGAAACUGAAUCUCUCAAUAUGGCCAGAUAAGUUAAGAUGUGUGGGGGUCCCCCUGUUGCUUUCUUUAGACACUAAUCAAAAUUGAUCAGGUCAGACAAUAGAACCAACUAAAUAAUCACCAUCUAAAUACUUGCUUUAGACAUCAAAUUGGUCGAUUAGAAUCAAUUAGAUUAACCUAUUAAAAUGGAUCCGAACCACUGAGCCAAAUUCGAUAUUGAGUCAAUCAACUCACAUCAAAAUGUGAAUCGAUGCGACCAACUAUAACUAGAGUCGACUUUGAGCCUCUUUGAUCUAAUCCUAAUCAUCCAUUGAUUAGGUUAAAUCAACUGCGCAAAAUCAAAAACAGGUUCUAGUCUGAUCUAAUGAAUUAGACCUUAAUUGUAGUUUGAUCACUUAGACCUAAUUUGUUCAACCCAUACCCACAUGUAACAACACAAUUUCAGAUCUAAAAAUGAUUUUUAGAUUAUGUUUAAUUGCAUGCAAUUAAUGGCUUAUGAUCUUGAAAUUGUUUCAGAUCUACAUCUAGUUUUAUAUAUCGAAUAUACGUAGUUUCCGAUUUAAAUCAAAUUUGCAUCACAUAUACAUUUAUUUCAGAUCUAAAACUAAAUUUACACAUAUCAAAUAUGUAUAAAAUCAGAUCUGAAAUAAUGAUUGAAAUAUUUCGAAAACAUCUUUUUCAAAAACUGAUUCACAUCAAACUAGGAUAACCUUUACAAUAUAAGGGGUAAAUCCUAUAUCAGGAUAACCUUAUAUUAGUUUAAUGUGAACUUUUAAUCAUUGUAAUUUUAGAUUUAAACACAAAAUUAAACAUAUCACAUAUGUUAAUUUUCAGAUCUAAAAGAUUUGAUUUAAUUGUUUCGAAAACAGUUUUUCAAAAUCGAUCAAUCUUGUGUUAGGACAACUUUUGCAAUAUAGGGGGUAAAUCCUAUAUCAGGAUAAUCUUACAUUAGCACAAAAUUGAUUUUAAAUCAUUAAAACUUUCAGAUCUAAUCUAAAAACCAGAUUAUAUGUGUUUUCAAAAUCUGGCUCUGAUACCACUGUUAGAAAAUCGGGUAGCAGCAUGUGUAGAUUUUAAAACUUUGAAAAUAGAUAUCGGAAACAAAUCGGGUUAAACCCUUUAACCCCACAUGCAAGAUACCAGAUCUAAACCUACCCAAGCCCAGGAGAAAGCACAUAUCAUCAAUCUGAAAUUUAGAAAAAUUUAUGAGAUCAGAUCUCAUUACCUUGGCGUGAUAGUUAAUUCGUCGCUUCUGAUGAUUUCGAAUUCGUAGAAGGUUGAGCCGCACACAUGUCCGGCCUAUACGGGUAUCUACCUGGAUUAAUCUCUAACUUUUUCUUCUCGUAGAAGAUUCUUCUUUUCUUCUUGGUCUUGAAGAUUUUGAUCAACUCUUUUGAUCUUAAUUGCGAGAUCAACUCCUUGAUCUGCAGCCUUCUUCUUCUUCUCCUCAAUCUUUGAUCUCUAAGUCACCAAAUUACCAAUACUUCUUCUUGGCAUGUGGAAGAGAGAGCACCCAACUUUUGGGUGUGGAAAGGAAGAAAAUGAUGAGAGGAGGCGUGGAGAUGGAGAGGGGGAGGAAUUUUGUUGAUCAAAAAUUCAUUCUUUAAAACCCUAGAGACCUCUUUUUUAAAUAGAUACUACCCUGACACAUAUUAGGAAUCCAAUUAUUUUAAAAAGGUAUAUCCUUAUCUCAUAAGAAUCCUCUACAUUUUUAAUCUGAUUUAUGCCAAAUAAAAUCAGAUAUAAAUGAUAAUUAAUCAGUCCUUUUAAGCAUGUAUAAGAGGCAUCCAUGGAAUACAUGUCAGGUGGUUAGGGCGCCAACUCUUGAUGCCCCACAAAGGGAUCUCUAGUCAAAAAUAAUGGGACGUGGACGCCACUCUCUCUCCUCCAUGCCAUGACAUAUAAGUGGGGUGGGCCCCUCUAGGAUAUGGCGUCCAAAAUUUUUCAAAAAGAAAAAGAUGUGCCACCCAAUCUUCCAUCUAUUCCACAUGCACACUUAGAGAUAAUCAAGAGAUAAAGAAGCGAUAAUGUUAGGAUAAUUAAGUCAACUAGUUGACUUAAUCAAAUCCUCUUGGGCUCACAAUUAAGAGCUCAAUUAAACCUAAAUGAAUUUAGGUUAGGUUCAAGGCUAUGGAUUUGAUCAAAUCGAAGUUCCGAGAAGAAUUAGGUUUNNNNNNNNNNNNNNNNNNNNAGAUUGGAAUAUUUUCAAUUCUAUCCUUCGAAGACCAUCGAUCAUCAAGAUGACGUCUGAUGAGUCUCACAAUCCACUAGUGACACCUAGCAGUAUGUAUUUGCAACCCAAUAGAAUGAAAGUACGAAUCUCUAGGUGCAGUUAUCGUAUGAUUUAGUCCUUCUAUCGUGAGUCCCGACUUGACGGAGAUCAUGGAGAACUCGUCAAACUUAAUUAUCAGUCAUAUGCUAGAUUGGCUCGACUCGAGUUCAUUUGUGAAUUUCGUGGAAACUCUUUUGCAGUAUUUACUCUUGCUUUGGUCAAAAAUUUUUUGAACUCAGUCUCGCAAAUCGCAUAGGACUUCUCCUUUUCUACAAAGAUUGAUAGAUCUCAUCUAAGUGCAUCCUACUCUGAAUAGUGAACCUGAACCUAUUGAAGCCAACAUACGCAGCAAGGAUCCAAAUGGCUAGAGACCAAAGGAACGUGUAGUCAAAUCCAGUAGCCUCGCUGCGAAUAGCUAAUGGCACUGCAGGUCAAAGGACCACUCACACUACUGCAGCAUCGAGAAAAUCACUGACGAGUGAGUAGACAUCCAUGUGGUUCUCGUGUUGGUUACGCUCAGUGCAAGUUGUUCUCUAACACCCAUCUGCACUUUCACCCCUGUGUCUCUACACUGCAGACUCGAGACUCAUCUGCCCAUGAGGUGAACCGUGCAUCGAUCUCAAAUGGAUUGAUCACCGUCUUUCGUGACGAUCUUUUGAUCGUGAGCAUUUAGAAAUUAACUACUAAUUAAUGUAUGUCUCAAAUUUUUAACUCUUUAAGAAUAUACAAAAAUCAUCUUUGUUAAUUUUUUGGACAAAUCAUGGACACAUAAACAUGAUUGGAAUGAAAAAGCCCUUUAUUGAUAAUAAAAAGAUUACAAGUACAAGCUUAGGUUUUAGAAUUACAUAAUGUGUUAGCCAACAAUUGGCUUCUAGGGCACAAAUCCAACAAAAUCGAGAUAGGGUACCAUCUCAUGUGUUGGGACAUGGCCGUCCCGCUAGCGUCUCGCCGUCUCAAUUGGGAUGUCUUGGGACAUCCUCUGUACCAAGUGUCGCGAUGGAGUGGGAUGGCGUCGUGUCCCGUUCUAUGAAAAAAUCGGGAUAACCUCAUCCUACGGGAUUUAAAAACUUGGUUAGCCUAACUUUCUAAUCUAGGAGGAAUUUGAUGUCCUGAUAGGAGAGAGUUGACGUAGGAGUGAAGAUAUAGCUCUAAGAUGAAUUUCAUCUUAAUGGAAAAUUCUUACUGUUUUAGAAAAAUAUUUACCUCUUCUAACUAAAGUAAUCUAUUCAGAUUUUGAAAGGGCAGACCUCUCUAGUAUAAAUGGAGGUCGUGUAUCACAGCGUAUACAUUGAUUAGAAAAAAUGUAAAAACUAUGCUUUCUACCUAAUUCCACUUUUAUAUAAAAGAGUAAGUUGACCUGGAUUAGGGACUGGAACCUCACUUGUGUAAAUAGAGGACUUGUGUAAUAGUUUUAUCCAAGGUUUGCCAUACCGUGUCGAACCGGCCGGUACAUCCCAUCUUGUAAUGGACCGGCAGAGAACCGGCACGAUUCGGCCGGUAAAAUCGGUACACCGGUGGUAACGAAGAAAAAAAAAUGAAAAGUGAGAAAGAGAGAGAGAGGGGAGGGGAGGGAGAGAGGUGGGAGCUGUCGGAGGCCGGUGGUGGCCGGCUGUGGCCGUCGGAGGGCGUCUGAGCCCCAUAUCGUCCGAUAGGGCUUUCAAGAGAGCAAAAAAGAGAGAGAGAGCGUUCGGAGGGGGGGGCGGAGAACCUAUCGGACAGACGGUGCCUCCGUUGCGAGGGUCCCGGUGGCCGACGAGCUGACGCCGACGGCCUGAGGGCGAUCGAGCGGGUGGAGCCCCUCCGCGGCUCCGCCCCCUUCUUUUUCGAAACAGACGAUAAAAAAAAAUCGUGAAGUCGGCAAAUCGUUUGCCGACUUCACUUAAAACCAUAUUUUUUUAAAAAAUUUGCAAAACAGGGGCGAUGCCCCUGUUUCCCGCUUGCGGCGCCGUGCACGUGGACUACGCCCUCCAACGGCUACGGCGGCCAGUUGGAGGCCGUCCGGCGGCCCCGCCGGCUCCUUCCCCUCUCUCUUUUUUUUUUCUUCUUCUUUCUCUCUAUUUCUCUUCUGGUUCGGGUCGUCGGUUCGGUAUGGUAUGAAACCAUACCGAAUUGUACCGCCAGCCGGCCGAAACGGCCGGCGGUACCGGUUCAGCAUACCUUGGUUUUAUCUAUCUUUGAUUAAAGUAAAGGAUUUAGAAGUUAGAACCCUGCUUUUGAAAAUACUUAAUAUUCUUUUUUUAAUUAUUAUUUUAAGAGAUUUGAGUAAAGCAGAUUGAAGGAAUUCCUUUUUUUUGUCUCCAAUCAGAAAAAUAAUUCAUCCAUAAUGAAAAGUUGUUCCGCUAUAAAAUUCCAAAAACCUGAUAUUUAAUUUGUUCUUGUGUAGAGCUCUGUUACAAGUAACAUAGUUCCACAACAUGUCUAACAUUAAAGCUCCAUGGAAUAUCCCACUUUUUAGAUAUCUUUAGCAUAAUUUCAAUGUGGUCAUAACUUCCCCUAUCAUAUUUUGCAGAUAUGUUAAACUACAAAGUGACCAUUAUUCCUAUUCUUACCUUGUAUUAAUGAUGUUUCAAAGCUACAUUUCUUUGAUAGUCCGGUAUCAUGACUCAUGAAGUGGAAAAGCCUAGGGUCUGCACUUCUGCAAUGAUAAAGCCUAGUGUCACUAAAAAAUAAUGUGUCCUCAAGUACUUGAGAACUAAAGACUGUCGCAGGAUACCUGAAGAGGCUGACUUGUAUCAGUGGCACUAGUAGUGAGAAAUGGAGAAGACUUUGCUUUGCCUUCAAUUGCUUUGUAGUUGUUUCCACUUUAAAAAUCAUGUGUUCUUCAUCACGUGGAUCUUACAUUUGUCGGUAUUGGAAAUUAUAUUGAUUGAUAUAAAUUUAAGUAAUGAUGAUUGUUCAUUUGUGCCAUUUCUUGCCAAUUCCUGUCAUAUCCUGCUUGAUGCUUUUAUUUUGUGCUUGUAUGUGUUACUGAUAAACUGAUAAAUAUUGAUAAAAUUUCAGGCUCUGUUGCUAAAGAACACUCCAUUUUCCAAGCUUUAUACAUUGCCAGAUGGAUGCUCACCACGAUUUGAUAAAAAAUAUCUAAAGUCUAUCAACAAACUUCUUGAGUUCUGGCACAUGGGAAGAAAUGCUGUUUUAAUUGAUGAUCAGGUAAGACUUCUUUAUUAAGGUUUCAUCCUUGUAUGCUAUGGUGAAUUACGAAAGCUAUAAAAAUGAUCUUCUAUUAUUCUGUGAUAUCAGUUAUAACUUUUCCGUUUGUUGCUGGCAACAGCCAAAAUUAUUUAAGCUGUUUAUUGAUCCCAUACGCUGCUUGAUGGUGAUGCCAAUUUUACUAUCAUAGGUUUGUGCUUAAUGGAGAUUAUGCAUAGUUAGUUGUUUAUGAACAUGACUGAAAAGAGAACCUUGUUGGAGAUUGAUGCCUCCCAUCUUGAGGGUCCAUCACACACUAAAGAUUGGGAGGCCUUGCGACAAAAAUAGGACCAUAGACUUACGUAACAAAAAGUUGACAAUUUAUCUGAAGAAUUUCUUCAAAAACACUACGAUGAAAAGUAUAAUGCUUCUUUGAAGGAAAGUUCAAAUAAUUUGUUGCAGGUUGCAAAAUUAGAUUGCUGUGGACUAGAUUCUAAAAACAGUACAUUGUUCAACAUUCCUCAAGAAAAUGCUUAUGCCAAUCAUCAAAAACCCUUGUUACUCUUUGAAGUCCUGGAAAUCUAUAAGUUUAUGGGAAAUCCUCAAGUUUCUGCAGAGAAAAGCAUGCACAUAAUGGAUCAGCCUUGUCAUAUUUGAUUGAGGUGGCUGUGUGGAUCAUGUUUGUAUUUGUUUCUUUCAUUCUAUUGUCAGAUUCUCCGAAAUGGGAAGUAUGUUCAAAUUCCUUCAUGACAUUCGUUUUUUUUCUGCUUAAUGAUUUCCUCUUUUCUGUUUCUUUGCAUCAAUUUCUGAUUCCCUUCUCAUCAGGCACUUUGCCAGGUUGGUGGGGUACAUGGUUGAACCAUCUCAAAUGACUAAUCAGUAUGUUGUCCUCAAUGGGUUUUGCUACUAUGUUUCCUAUAAGUUACAUGCAUCUAAGGCUAUUCCAUCUAACAAUUUUUUUGCCAUAUGCAUGCCCUAGAGUCCAGUUCCAUGUAUUGAUCAUUUGAUGCUUGAGUACCUUUUGUAUUAUUUGAUAUAGUCUGUACAAUGUAAUAAACCGUACAAUAUCUAUAUAGGAGUUCUUAUUCAUUCUUAAUCUCAAUGGCCUUUAAGAAUCACUUAACUCUUUAUAGAUAUACUUCCAUUCAUCAGUCAUUGUUGAAUAUGCUCAUUUAUCUCUUUAUCCUUUUGUAGAACAAAUUUAUGAUGACAUUUGCAAUUUGUUUGGGUCUCUGCAGUCAAUAAUAUUUAGUUCAACUAUAUCAUUGAUCCAUAAAUAUUCAUUCUAAUGUUGCCUAGAAGCUGGAUACAGGGUUUUAUAUAUCAACCUGUACUGGUUGGAAUGGGAUAUAUCAUUACUGAUUCAGUGAGACAUAGGAAUUUGGUGUGCCUCUUGUAGUGACACAGAGAACAGCUACCGUGCUGACUCCAUCAGUGUCCCAUGUGUUUGUAUGGGGGUGUACUGUAUGGAUCAAUUGGUAGGGUGCCAGCUGUAUGGGGUCCAGUAAUGACACUUAAAUUAUGGGGUGGAUGAUUAUUUAGCAUGCAAAUUAUGGGGUGGAUGAUUAUUUAGCAUGCAAAUUCUUUUAGAAGAUAUAAAGUGCUGGGCACAUGUGAUGCACAAAAGAUCAUUUAAUGGAUGGCUAUGAUACCAUCAAACAUUUUUGCAGUGAAUUUGAAAAUGACACUCCAUUUUUUUGUUCAUGCACUUCUCUUCUUUUUAUAUAAUUAUUUGUUAGAGUAACUAUGAAACAAUAUAUUUGGUAAAGAGUCUGUAUUAGAUCUGCUCAUCGGGUGGGCCGGGCUUAGCCUUAGGUAUGACCAAAAUUAUCCAAGCCUGAGUUCGGCUUGGUUUAGUCUUCUGGCCUACUUCCCAGGCCCAAGCUCAGUAGCUUCACAUUUCGGGCCGGGCCUUGGGCUUUCUGGACUAAGUGGGUUGCAUGCUGUUUAACUUUGAGCCCACCAUUCACUAUUUAUAGCUCUCUCUUUAUGGAUUUAAAGAGUGGGGAAGAAGAAGAUAAGGAGAAUGGAAAUGAAACUUAGGAUUCACUUCACUCCCUUGCCUCCUUGAUCGAUGAAUCAAAAACCUAGAAAGAGUUCCCUCGAAUCGGCCGGAGUAAACUGUAAGCCCGUUGAAUUGGAGUCAAGAUGGUGUUUGAUUUUGCUCCAUUCUUGACCUCUUUUCUUUUCUUUGUUUUUAAUAUUUGUGAGAGAGUAAGAUUUUAGAUGGUGGAGUUGAGCGGUGGUGGGAAGGGGUCUAUGGAGGAGGAGGUGUUAGGCAAUGCGGUUGCCACCAUAGAUGAAGUUAGGGUUGAUCAAGGGGAUGGGGAGGUUGGCAAGGGUGCCUUGGCAGCAGGCAGCGAUUCAGGUGAACUUAGAUGCUGAGGAGUUCAUAAAUCUACUUCACGGAUCUGAUCUGAUCAAGGUCAAGCUCGAUCAGCUCGAGAAGAGGUUGAGGAUGUAGAGCUAAGGAGUAGGAGAUGAUUUAGAAGGCCUAGACAUACUAGACAGGAAGGGCUACGUAAGGGCCAUCACCCUGAACCCCAGCCUGCAUUGAAACAUGUGUGGUGUCGCCAUGUCCAGGAAGUGCUAGUACUGUUGGGAUGUGGCAGCAGUCCAUGCCGGUAGUACUGGCAUCCCACCGGAGGAUGGAUCUCCAAACCCUAGUCACCGCCUCCUUUCCUUGGUUAAGUGAGACGGGCACGCUAGCCACCCAAUUAGGUUGGCCAUGGGCUAUAUAUAUUAUAAAAAUUCCAAGCUUGGGUUGGGCCGAUGUAAACCUGAAUCCAGCACAUUUAAUGGGCGGGCUCAAAUUUUAGGCUUAGCAUGGCCUGCUAGGCUUAAAAUCCAAGGCCAGGCCUGUUCAAAAUGUUUCGGGCUCAAGCCGGUCGGGUGGGCUAUCUAGCAUUUGAAUAUGUCUAGUCUGUAUAUAGAAGGGAAAUGUAGGGUUGUCAAUGGCCGUGCUAGCCCCCAAGUGGCUUGAAGACCCGGCAUAAAAAACACCACUUGGGCUGGAAAUUUGGCCAGAAAUCCUGACUAAGAAGGGAGUUGUGGUUACAAGCUUCAUUGUAUGCCAAUAUGAAUCCCUAGUUCUUCAUCUAAUGGAUUGCUUGCAUGGUUAAUUUUGCUAGGAAUGAUUUGGUAGAAGUAUACCAUGUUUCAGCAGAGGAAAAUGGAGAUGCACACAUGUUGCAGAGACAUACACAAGGGGCAAAAUUGUGGUAUAGACGGUAAUGUUACAUGAGAUAAGAUAGCAAAUUGUUUCUAGAAAUUUUUUUUUCCCAAUCAAAUGCUGCAUGAGAUAAGAAAAGAAAAUUGUUUCCUUCUCACUGAGCAAAUUAUUUUUUACAUCGAGGUGAUGUAUGUCAUAAUGAAUAUACUAGAUACUUAUAUGACCUUGAGGAAAAUUGACUAACCCAGUCAUAUGGUUGCCAUCUUUCCACAUUUAGGUAUGACUAUGGACCAUCAAAGUUUCAGAACUUUUGUGCUCUGGUGUCAAUAUGCGGUUGACCAUCAAAACUGGUGCUGAAUCCUAGGAUAAGAAAUUUUGUGCAAGAGACCUGUUUGGAAACCGUAUAGACUAGUUGGCAGGCAGGGAGACAUACACUGGAGUUUGUUCAAAGAAUUGGCAACCUUCCAAGCUUUCCUCAACUGGGAAAUAAUUUAGCCCGAGAUGGAAAGAGUACAAUUUAAUCUGGGAUCAAAACUUAUCCAGCCCAUAUAUAUGGUGGCAAAGUUGGUAAAUUUUCAAUGAGAGCCUGACUUUUCUGGUUUGAAAAAUGUAAAGGAAAAUCUAUGUGGCUGGUUGACUGGUUUUCAGCCUAGGAAGUUUGAGAUGUAUGCAGUGGGUCUGCUUAUGAAGGAAAAACUGAAAAGAUAAACUACUGCUCAGAAGCUUACACCAGAAACUCUUAGUUAUCUAAUUAAGAUCAAUGGAACAACAGAGAAAUUACAUGAAAUAUGGAAGGGAAGACAAGAAUCACACUUGAUUUCAUUUGCAGAGAUGGGGCAAGUAGUUUAAUUUUUAUUCAUGCACGAAGAGCAAGAAGAGCUGUAUUAGACAAGGUUGAUUGCAAGAGAAAUAUGAAAAAAAAGAAAAGCAGAAAGUUGUGUUCACAAAGAUAUACUGUAAGGUCAUUGUUCAUCAUGCGUGUAAAAAACCUGCAAAUUAAUGAUGGAUACUGGAAGAAGAAAAAAAUAGUUGCACUGAUAUUGCAGUUUUGGGAAAUUCAUUGUUGAUGCUUGCAACAGACCGACCUUUUCCUAACGAACUUUUUUAAGAACACUGAACUCGAGGUGACCGACUUAAUCAAGUAAUAUCAAUUGUAUGGGGCAUAUAUCACAGUACCAUGGGUAUUGUAUCUUCGAUUUGAAUGAGUGUAUGGAUGGCCUUGUGAAUAUGGUUCCAGAUUUACUUGGUGAAUUUUUAAUAUAAUGUCAUUUUAUAUUGACAUAAGGAACGUCACAUAAACUUCUGCUGUUCAACACAUACCUUUCAAUUUAAAGAAGAGAUCUUCUGGAUGAAGAAGAUGAUAUUUGGAAGUUCAUCCAAUUUGUCAAAGUCUUUAGUUGAGGUAAUGAAUCUGAUUCAGAUUGAAUAAUAAGUGAAGGAUGUAAGGAGGAAGUAAAGAAGAUGAAAGGAAUAUAAAGAUCUGGAAGAUAACAAACUUGGCAGUUUGAAGUUUGAACCAGAGCAAUUCCUGCUUGAUGCCUACUUGAUGAUUUUUUUUUGCCCAUAUGUCAAUUAUUCUGCAUUUCAUAUAUAUCUAUUAACAAGUCAUUAUUAAUUAAUGGAUUUAGUUAUUGAAUAGUUAGUUAAUGAUUAACUGAAUGAUUGUCAGAUCAGUAAAAUUCAUGAGUGGUUAGAGACAAGGUUCAUUGUCAUGUUCGCGGAACUGUCCCGAACUGGACAAUUCAGGGCGUUUCGAGCUAUAUCAGCCAAAAACUGGGAUGGUUCGGCCGGCCAAAUUGGAACACCGGAUGAGGGAGAAGAAGAGAGAGGGAGAGAGGAGAGGAGAGAAAGAGGGGACGAUGUCAUCGGAGGGAGAUAGAGAGAGGGAGAGCAAUGGUAUCGGAGGGAGGCACAGUUGGUAGAGAGGCUAUUGAAGCGACCUUGGCGGCCCUCCAAGUGCCUCUAGAAGCCAUCUCUCCCUCUCUCUUUUCUUCCUUUCCUCUCUCUUUUCCUCUCUUUCUUUAUCCCUCUUCACCUCCUUUCCUGUUUCUUGUUUCAAUUGCUAGAACUGUCCUAUUUCGCCAUUGGCACGGCUUUGUAUGCCUUGAAUCGAGGAAUUUGGGAUGGUUCUAUAAUCCUUGGUUAGAGAGGUUCCGAGGAAUUUGAGUAUUAUAAUUUGUGAUUAUGGCAUAUGUAUCCAUUUUCUCAUGCUCUCAUUUUCAGGAUUUUUGGAGUUGAGGCUGCUUUGCUGUUCUUGAAGUAUAUCUACACCCUUUUUUCCUUAUAGCUUAUGUGUUUUAUUAUUUUUAACAAGGUUUGCCAUACUGGUUGAUACUGGUGUGAUGACCCAAGCCCAAGCCCGAUUGAGAAGAGCCAAGCCCAAGCCCAAAAAAAGAAAAAAAACUGGGAACGGAAGAAGACUCGGGAGUCUUCUUCUCCGAUGAAUCCCAAUUGAAGAAGGGUUCUAGGACUCUUGAAACUCCAGGACCUUCUAUAAAUAAGCCUCCCCUCUCCCUCUCGAGCCUCCACUGGCGAUCGUUGAGCUCAAAUUCCUCUCUUUUUCCCUUGGAAGCCGCGGCACCCUCUUCUUGUGUUCGUCGGAAAUCGAAGGUCGAAGAGGCCACCGGAGUUCAGGUAAGGGUUAAAUCUUUCUUCCUCUCCCUCUUUUCUUUCUUCCCAUGGUUUUAGACUCCUCGCCGGCUGUCGAGAUCACCAGAAAUUUCAUGAAACAUGAAACCCCUGUUCGACCGGAACCUUUCCCUCUCUUUUCUGGCCACCGGCGCCACCGGUUGCGACAUCUCAUCCCUGAGACUGGACCCUCAUCUCUCUCUCUCUUCCCUUGAGUGCUUGGCUACCGGCGACCGGCCAAUGAUCGGAAAUCAUGAAGAAAGGGGUCAGAUCCCCUGUUUUUCGAGAAAUUAAAAAAAAAAACUUCGCCGACCGAACCUCACUGUCGGCCGGCCUUGCUCCGUUGCCGUCGAUCGGAUGCCACCCACCUCGUUGGAGCCCGGGUCACUAGGGGGGGACCUCAUCGGUCUUCCCCUGUUUUGGCUCAAGAGAGGGCCGUGGGAAGAAGGAAAAGAAAAGAAAAAGAAAAGAAAAGGAAAAGAAAAAAAAUAAAAAAAUAGAAAAAACUAGAAAAAAAAGAAGAAAAGAGAGAAAUUUUCUCUCUCCUCUCUCUACCUUCUCUCUCCAUUUUCUCUCUCUAGAUUCUCUCCCUAUUUUCUCUCUCUACUCUCUCUUGGAUUUUUUUAGGAUUUAUGGAUUUANNNNNNNNNNNNNNNNNNNNCUAGAAAGACCAGCGACAAACCGCCAGCGAGACCAGCGGUUCCAAAGGACUUUGCUGCCAGAUGAUUCGCAGCCUACCGCAAGAAGAUACGCGGUAUUAUGAUCCUGCCACAGAAAAAAUGUGGUCAUAGUUCAUGGUUGAUAAGAAGAACUUAAGAAAUUUGAUGAAUUCAAGAUGAUAAGUAUAAUUUGAAAUUAUGAUGAAUUGAAAGUUUAUAUAUGAUUGAUAGUGUGAUGAAUUAAAUUAUAAAUUCAUGAAUUUACAUAUUGUUUAUGUUAUUAUCAGUAAACAGAUAUGUACAGUAUUAUUGCCUGAUUUAUUCAUUUAAAGGUAUACACUGCUUACUGAGCUAUUUAGCUUAUGAUGAGUUUACAUUUUCUUUACAGAUCCAGAAAAUUAGCGUGAUACGGAAUUUGGUUGGGAGAGCUAUUAGAGAUGGAGUUGGUUUAUUUGAUUUAGGAUUUUUCUCAGAAUUGAUGCAAGAUUUUCAUUUUAAGUGUUGACUUUGUCAGACAAUUAUUUUCUUUUUGACACUGAGUUUUGAUUUGUUAUUUGAACUAAGGUUUGAUCAUUAAGACUGAAAUUUAUUUAACUUUAUGUGUAUGAUAUCAUGAUGAGAUGCCUUGCAUGCUUAUAAGAAAAGCUUCCUAUGAGUAUGCGGCGGUUGCCAUGACCUUCGAUUCACAAUCUCGGGUCGGAGGCGUGACAACUGGUGUGUACCAACUGUAUCGUACCAUACUGGUACUGAAUUAGUAUGAAGUAUAGGGGGUGUAUCAAUACUUGGUAUGUUGAACUUGGUACCAUAUUGGGCAUACCAAUAUUAGACACACCAAUAAUGUAAUAAGAUGGAACUGGUAUGAGGUUUGGUACUGAGAUGGCAAAUGUUGGUUUUUAAUGCCUAUUUUUUCUUUUACUUCAUGGUUGUUUUUAAUACUAGAUUGAGAUUCUUUAAGCUCCUCUUUGCCUAUUCCAUUAACUAUUAGAUAGGAAGUCAUCCUAUGAUCCUAACAUCACAUUGAUAACAAUUUUUGGAUUUUAUCUCUCUCUCUCUCGCUCCCCCUCUCCCUCCCCCCACCCCUAUGCCCCAAAAAAAUAUGCCCUUUUCAUUCUGCACUAUAGCUUUUGUAAUAAUAACAUAUCCAGGCAUCAUAUAUCUUUCUAUUUCACUUCUGCAUCUUACAUUAGGCAUUUAAGAGUACUGGACUUUCUUUAUUAUGAAGAUGGAACCAAGAAGACUUGACAGUUUAUAAAUAUUAUCUUUUUGUAAUUAAAUCAUAAAAUUGUUUAUUUGUUAAAGUUCUGUUCAUAUUUUAGGUCAUGAAAUGCCAGUAUCUUUCUGAUCUUCUUCUUUUACUAUUUCUAGUAUUCCACGAAAGGGCAACCUGUUGCAUGAGGGUCCUGCCACUAUUGGGUUUAGGAAGAGCAGAUCCAUGCAGUUUUAUACCCACAUGUGAAGAAGCUGUUUGUGUGUUUUGAACCCAUGACACCAAGGUCCCAAUGGUGCACCCUACUGUUGCACCAGGGCUGACCUUCCAAACUUGAAUAUUCCAUCAUGAGAAAAUUUUCCUUUAUAAUAUUAUCCCCUUUGAACCCCUUCAUGCCCUUUAUGCUGCAUGCCAAUUUAGUUCUUCUUUUGUAAUUUUUGCUUAUAUCGUUUAAGUGGUUCCAUUUCAUCUAAACUGCCUUUGCAUAUGAUUCGUUGCUAUUUGCAUUUACAUAAUGCAUUCAGUAAUUUGUUCUUGAUCCAUUCAAUUAUUUUAAUAUGUUUCCUUAUAUGCAAACUAGGUCAGUGGUUCAUUUGCAGAUAAAUGGUCACUUCUUGUCAUGUUGAUCUUUUGGUUAAAACACCCAUUGUAUAUGUUAUGGCUUGCUAAGGUGUUAUCCAGCCAACUAGUUCUACAAUGUCUUGAGCAAGAUUUGCCAUACCGUGCCGAACCGGUCGGUACACCCCAUCUCGUAUCGGACUGGCGGGGAACCGGCACGAUUCGGCCGGUAAAAUCGGUACACCGGCGGUACCGAAGAAAAAAGAACGGAAAGUGAGAAAGAGAGAGAGGGAAGGGGAGGGAGGGAGGUGGGAGCCGUCGGAGGCUGGCGGUGGCCGGCUGCGGCCGUCGGAGGGCUUUCGAGCCCCGUAUCGUCCAAUAGAGCUUUCAAGAGAGCAAAAAAGGGAGAGAGAGCGCUCGGAGAGGGGGGUGGGGAACCUACCGGACGGACGGUGCCUCUGUUGCGAGGCUUUCGUUGGCCGGCGAGUCGACCCUGACGGCCUGAGGGCGGUCGAGCGAGGGGAGCCACGGAGCGGCUCCGCCCCCUUCUUCUUUUUCGAAACAGACGACGUCUGUUUCGAUUUUUUCUUUUUUUUUGUUUUAACUUAUGAAGUCGGCAACUGGAUUGNNNNNNNNNNNNNNNNNNNNNNNNNNNNNNNNNNNNNNNNNNNNNNNNNNNNNNNNNNNNNNNNNNNNNNNNNNNNNNNNNNNNNNNNNNNNNNNNNNNNNNNNNNNNNNNNNNNNNNNNNNNNNNNNNNNNNNNNNNNNNNNNNNNNNNNNNNNNNNNNNNNNNNNNNNNNNNNNNNNNNNNNNNNNNNNNNNNNNNNNNNNNNNNNNNNNNNNNNNNNNNNNNNNNNNNNNNNNNNNNNNNNNNNNNNNNNNNNNNNNNNNNNNNNNNNNNNNNNNNNNNNNNNNNNNNNNNNNNNNNNNNNNNNNNNNNNNNNNNNNNNNNNNNNNNNNNNNNNNNNNNNNNNNNNNNNNNNNNNNNNNNNNNNNNNNNNNNNNNNNNNNNNNNNNNNNNNNNNNNNNNNNNNNNNNNNNNNNNNNNNNNNNNNNNNNNNNNNNNNNNNNNNNNNNNNNNNNNNNNNNNNNNNNNNNNNNNNNNNNNNNNNNNNNNNNNNNNNNNNNNCUUUCGGUUUGGGUUGUCGGUUCGGUACCGGUUCAGCAUACCUUGGUCUUGAGCAUGAAAAUUAUUGCCUUUGUUUCUUGAACAUGCAAAUUCUUUGCUUAUUUAGUAUGGCCCAGAAAGUGUUGCCUCCCAUCUUAGAAGAUGUUUUUGUUUUUGGUUUGCAGGAGCGAAUUGUUGAAACCAUGCUAUUUAUUUUAGCAUUACAAUCCCAUACAUGCCGGCCUUAUCUCAUCAUCUCAGCUGCUGCUGCUCUGCCCUCAUGGGAACGUGAGUUUGCACAGUUGUCACCAUCUGUUAACAUUGUUGUUUAUAAUGGCACGAAAGAUGUUCGAAGAAUGAUUCAGACUGUAGAAUUUUAUGAUGAAGGUGGUCGUAUAAUGUUUCAAGUGCUCAUAUCACAUUCUGAUGCUGUUGUCGAGGUACAUAUAUUUCUGGUUGUUUUUUUUACAAAAUAAAUAAUUCCUUGUAGAUAUAUCUCAUGCUUUUUGUGUAAUAAGAUGUAAUGUUAUGCUACAAAAUUAUAAACGUCAAAAGACUCAAAACACUAGUUUUGGAAUGGUUUGCUAUGGUGAAUUUGGCUCUGUCACACGUGUAUGAUUUCUUGAAAACAAAUUUACUUGCCUGCGAUUCUUUAACUCAUAUUGGUGAUGUUUAGGACCUUGAAGCUUUAUAUUGCAUUGGCUGGGAAGCAAUUAUUGUUGAUGAGUGUCAAAAGUCAAGAGUAUCUAAACAUUUUGAACGGUUCAGGAAUCUUUCAUCUGAUUUCAGGUUGCUGCUUUUUAGUGGUCCUCUAAAGGUACUUCUUUUUUAUCUCAUGUUUCAUUUCCUUUAUUUGUUGCUAUAUUGUUUUCUGACUUGUCUCUGCUGCAUCUCCAAAACUAUUUUAUUAUAUUCUGGUGUCUUUUCAGGACGGCUUUGUUGAUUACCUCAACACACUCUCAUUCCUUGAUCCAAGAGGACAAGAGAAUGCUGUCAAUAUUUCAAAAUUUGAUAUUACUGAUGAUAAUGAUAGACUUGCCAUCCUAAAGGAAAGGUUAGCAUUUUAUGUUGCAUAUGAGCGCAAACCAAAGUCUUCGAAGUUUCAAGAGUACUGGAUUCCUGCUCAGCUUUCCAAUGUACAACUUGGCCAGUACUGCAAUAUCCUAAUGUCAAAUUCAGAUGCAUUGCAUUUGAUUUCCAAAGUUGAUCAUGUUGGUGCUAUUAGUGUCAUCCUCAAUUCUGCUCGAAAGGUUGUCUCCUGAAACUUAUAUCCCAUCAACUACUCAAAAGUAACUCUUACAGAUAUUUCUCUGUUUAUAUUUUCAUAGUCACCCAUUUCUGUACUUAAUUAGUUCGUCUAAGCUGAUCUUACACUUGUGAUGCAGCUUAAAUUUCCUGGUGUCUCGUAGUUUUAUUUAUUUUAUUUUAUUUUUUUGGUGCAGUGCUGUGAUCAUCCCUACUUGGUUGACAACUCAUUGGCCUGUUCACUAACCAAGGAUCUAUCAUUGGUCGAAAAAUCAAAGUUUGAAGUGAAUGCAAGUGGAAAACUACGACUUCUUGACAAGAUUCUCCGGAAUAUAAAGACUCAUGGGCUAAGGGUGCUUAUUCUUUUUCAGGUUUGUUUUUUCUUUAUUUUUAUACAGGUUUUGUGGAGGUUCUGGUAGAGGUUUUUUUGUGGAGUUUUAUUAGAGGUUUUUUGUGGAGUUCUGCGCGCGUGCACACACACAUAAAACAAGUUAGAGAUGUGCGUCUUAGUAUCUUUGGAGUGGACUUUUCUGUUUCACUUCGAAUCAUACUCUUUCAUGUCUUAUUUAUUGUGGGAUGGACCAUCACUAUUUGCGAAUUUGUUAUGAGAAAGUAUUUUGCUGUUUCCACCUUUGUUAAUUCUUUCCCAUGUGUCAGUAUUUAGUGGUUACUAGGAUAAGGAAUGAUCUUGAAUUUUGAUAUUAAAUUCAAACCACACUGCAAAAAAUAGAAUUUACAUACUCAUCCUCAUGCUACAUUUAACAUUUCCAUUUCCAUUUCCUGAAGUGAUUUGAUUCUUUUUACAUGAAUGCAUACUUAAAAUAUUACGAGUUAGUUUAAUAUGAUACUGCUAUUAUCGAUUUGGCUUAGUAGUUAAGAAUAGAUUCAGUCAUACCGUAAUCCAGGUUCACCUGUUGAAGAUUGAUAGGCAAAUUACGGACCAUAACAGAUCCAAAUAUCUUGAAAAAUAUCUAGCUUCAAACAUCAUUUAGAUUAGUAGCUUGUUAAUCAUGCUUUAUGAUUGACUAUCUACUUGACAUCAACCUCUAGGAAUGGGUGUUGGAUUCCUAGCUAAGGCAGCUUAAGGCAGGACAGAUGCCUAGCAUGAAACCUAGAACACCAGAUGGUUAUAGGAAUUGGUGUUGAAUUCCUGCUUUAGUGGUCACAAUUUCAGAUUAUGCAACUAGGGAACAUUAACCGAAGUUCCGUAAAAACUCAAAGAAAAUGGAGACCAAAGAGAAGAUGUCAUGGUUUGAUAUAGGGAACUGCAUUCAUCUUAAAGCACUAAAUUAUAAGUGAAAGAGUGACAUUGAAACAUAAUCCCAUAUCUUUUAUGGACACAGGUUGAACUACUGAGCAUAAGAACUGCAAGAACUAUUUUCACAGAAAUGACUGUUGGAUUAUUGUUUUAUAUCAAUGGGGUGGGUGGUGGCUUUAUCACAUUCAAACAUUCAUAUAGGGAUUGCUUCAAUACUGAACGCUGACUCACGCAGUUAUAAGUCUUCCCAUGCCUUGUCAGGGCCUAUGUUUGAAGGAGGUAAGGUGCCUGAAUUCUUGUGUUUGUGGAAUAUGAUCCUAUGUCUGUGUUUGCAAAAAUGGCACCUUGCUCUGGGAAUACUGAUUUUGAAAAAUGAGUUAUCUUUUCCUAAAAUUAACAGCAAGAUAGAAGCUAAUGAGGUUGUAAUCUGUACUUUGUUUUGUAGAUUCCAGGGCAGUGGUUAUUGUAUCCAACAUCUGGAUGAUAGUUGGUAGGAAACACUUGUCCAUGGACUUUAUUCUUGACAUGGCACAACUUGGGGUAGAGCAAUUCUAGAAAACUAUCUGAACCUGAGGUUCCAUUUUCUCUUAAACCAACUAGGCAACUACAAUUCCUCUAUCCUUUCCAAGUUGAUUCUUUGAGAAACAACUCGCCGUCAUACAUCGUUUUUUAUGCAUUAUGAGAUGAGAAUAGAGAACUUCCUUGAGAAUGCAUUUGUCUAAACCAGGACAUGAGAGUUGAGACCAUUCUUGAGUCGUUCUUAACAUUGUUAAUAAUUGAAAUUCAGGAUUUGUGGGAUGCCUGUUAGCAUUUCUGGUGCAGCACAAACAUGGAUUAUGGGAGAGAUAACCAGGUGUUCACUGUCUUCUCGAGGAAAAAUUUGAACUAGUGAGCAACCGGUCCCCUCAAACUCAUGAACUAAGAUUACUUUGUUUCCUUGACUCACAGUGGACAUAUCAGGAAAGCAAAUUUGUUGAUAACAGUACUAUGGAUUCUCAGUAUACAAGUACAAACUCUUCUAUACCCUCAAAAUUCUUAUUUCUAGUUGUAGUCAUACAAGGGCAUCACGGUACUUUUCCCUACCCAACUAAAGAUUCACUUGAUACUAAACAGACCUAUUCAAUGAAAUAAAUGUAAACAAAGUAUACAUUUUAACUGAUGACCUUUUUAGUAAUUGGAGAACUUAAAAUAAAAAUAUGAUUACAUUGGCAACUUGGUUUUUGAGUUGGACCUGGUUUCUGCUAGUCUUGCUUGGACCUUGUUCCUUGGUAUCUUGUUCUACAUCAAUUUGUUUCAGUUGUCUGAUUUUUACAUGUGUCAGCUAUUCGGUGCAAAAGUAAUUUUCUCCAGCUUAUUGGUUUGAUCCAAGCUGUCUGCAGCGUCAACUUUAUUGGUGCAAGUAAUUAUUUAGUAUUAUUAUUUGUAUUAAACAAGAUAGCUGAUUAUUUGUUUUUUUAAAAAGUCUGGAUACUUGGUUUACAACUGGAGAUUAUUUUUUAGCCUUAACAUUUUUAUUCCUGGCGUUGGUCAUAUAAGAAGAUAUGGUGCUUUAUCAUGCACAAGACUCGCUCUAUGCCAGAGUCACCAACUCCACUAUCAGACUUAUUCCAGCACAAAGAAAUAAAGUUAAAUGAAAUGCAUAUCCUAACUGAACAGUUUUUGGUAGUUUGAGAACUAAAAAUAAAGAUAUGAUGAUAUCAGCAACUUGCUUUUUGUGUUUGACUUGGCUUCUACGAGUCUUGCACGGACCUGAUUUGUUGGUAUCUUGUUCUAUGUCAAUUUGUUACAGCUGUCUGAUUUUCACGUGUUGGCUAUUUGGUGCAGAAGUAAUUUUCUCCAUCUUAUUUUGGUUUGACCCAAGCUUUCUGCAGUGUCAACUUGAUUAGCACAAGUAACUACUUAGUCUUGUUAUUUGUAUUUUUAUAUUUCAACUUCGUUGUAGUAAUGUUAUUACAGUUGUUGAGAGGAGUAAUCCUCCGGCUUAUUCUAUUUUGAAGAUUUAUAUCAGCCUGUGCUUUAAUCUGUUGCACCAUGAUUAUAUGAUCUAAAUGUUAGCAGUACUCAUGAUCAUUUAAAUUAUAGAAAAUUUUGUCUGCCAUCUACCAAUCUAGUGACAUCUUGGAAAGUUGGUAGUUGCUUAGGAUCUGAUAUGUUUGUAUAUAACUGUAAAUGUUAUAAUAUGUGACAGUCCAUUGAUGCAUCUGGAAAGAUUUCUACUGGUGAUAUUUUGGAUGAUUUUCUCAAUCAAAGAUUUGGUGCCAACUCCUAUGAACAUUUCAUUAAUGGAAUGACCAGGGCAAAGAAAGAAGCUGCUUUGGAAAGGUUUAAUGACAAGGAGAGUGGGAGAUUUGUGUUUUUAAUUGGAAACUCUGCUUGCACCUCAAGCAUUAGACUUUCAUCAGUACAUACUGUUAUCAUUUAUGGUAGUGACUGGAAUCCACUGAAUGACUUAAGAGUGCUUCAUAAAAUAAGUAUUGGUUCACAUCUUAAACAGGUAAAGGUGUUUCGUUUAUAUUCUUCCUGGACAGUGGAAGAGAAAGUUCUAAUAUUUGCGAAGCAGGAUAUGGUUAUUGGGCAUGAUACACAGAACAUGAGUCCUAGUAUUAGCCAUUCACUUCUCAGUUGGGGUGCAUCCUAUCUGUUUGAUAAACUCCACAGGUUGCUCCAACAUAACUAUCAAAGUCAUGAUUGGAGUACUUCCACUGAGAAAUUACUCAUGAAUGAAGUAAUGAGGUUGUUGAUGCAAUCAUCCAACAUGGCUACUAUCACUGAUAACAGCAAUUGCUCAAUUGUAGUGAAAGCUCAACUCACUGGAAUGAGAUAUUCACAAAAUAUACUCCUAUUUGGGGAGAGCGAAAAUACACUCUCACUGGGUAAUGAUCCCCUUACUUUCUGGUCAAAGUUACUGAAUAGAAGUUGUCCGCAAUCAAAAUGUACAUCUGAGCCACCUCAGGGGACCCAAAAGAAAGUUCAUCAACUUGAUGAGUUGGUAAUGGAACCAGAAGGUUCAGAUGAUGAAUCGAGGAAGAAGCAUAAAAUUAUAGUCAAUAGCACCAUUAAUUCAGCGAUGUCAGUCCCACUGCAGAUGUUAACAGAGACAGGAGAAGCUGUCAACGGCAAGGCUGCUAAAGUGUCUGAAAAUACUCCUCCAUCGGGUUCUGAUCAUCCAUUCCUUAUCUGCACAAGUCAAGAACCACCGGGCCCAAAUAUCUCGACCAAUGAAACAGGUAUUGCUUUAGCUCUGAUUCUUUCCUUUUUAUUCAUCGCUUUAUCAGGAUUUGCUUGUGUUAGCUUCUUCUUUUCAGCUUUUUAUGAUAAGCAAGGUUACUUGACCUGCAGGAGUACCUAUAAGUCAAGCAAAACUUGGAUCAAUGUGUCAAUCAUGCUCUGGCACUAUUAUGAAUGAUGCAGUUUGGGAUUUGCACAUGCCUGCCAUGUCUCUUUCUUCUGACGUAGAUGAACUUGAAAUGUGGAAGCUUGGAGAGAAGGAAAAAUUGCUCAAUGCACCGAAGGACCUUCUUUCUUCUAUUAACCCAAAGUUAUUGAAAUUUUGUGAAACUUUGAGACUUCCGGUAUUUGAUCCACAAUUGCCAUUACUUGCACUUGUGCUAAAUAUUCUGCUUUUGUGUUAUUUUAUUCUCUUUCACAUGUUGUUCUUACAAAUGAGAACUGUGCAAAAUAAAAAUUUGAGUGGAAGAACUGCAAAAACAUUGCCCAUCUGCUCUAUUAAGAAAGCUCUUAUUUUUAAACAGAUUUGAAAAGUCUUCCUUUGAGAUGUUGUUGAAUUCAUAUGCUUGUACCAUGCUCUGGAAGAUAUACAGACAUCUUUUUGAGCACAAACAUGCUUUUCUCUUGAAGCAAGUGCAUGAAAUGAUUUAAGCAUAACAUUAAAAUCCGUGAAUUAAAUUUCACAAUAAUAAGAUGCUUUGAUUGAUAUAUGAAAAUUAUAUGGCAUACAUAUUACUAUACUGAUAUUGCAGCUUGAACACAGUAACAAAAGCAAUUCAUAGCAGAGGCACUUGUAUCUUUAUAGUUUUUUGUUGCAUGACUUGUGCAUCUAUAUUUAUGAUUUUUUUGGCCAAGUUUUAAACACUCUUGUCUGCAUUAAACAAGUUUUGGACCUUUUGGCAGCUAAAAAAUUAUAUAUAUAUNNNNNNNNNNNNNNNNNNNNNNNNNNNNNNNNNNNNNNNNNNNNNNNNNNNNNNNNNNNNNNNNNNNNNNNNNNNNNNNNNNNNNNNNNNNNNNNNNNNNNNNNNNNNNNNNNNNNNNNNNNNNNNNNNNNNNNNNNNNNNNNNNNNNNNNNNNNNNNNNNNNNNNNNNNNNNNNNNNNNNNNNNNNNNNNNNNNNNNNNNNNNNNNNNNNNNNNNNNNNNNNNNNNNNNNNNNNNNNNNNNNNNNNNNNNNNNNNNNNNNNNNNNNNNNNNNNNNNNNNNNNNNNNNNNNNNNNNNNNNNNNNNNNNNNNNNNNNNNNNNNNNNNNNNNNNNNNNNNNNNNNNNNNNNNNNNNNNNNNNNNNNNNNNNNNNNNNNNNNNNNNNNNAUAUAUAAAUGAAAAGCCUAAAUUGAUGAGAAUCUAUGUGAGUUGAAAUUUUUCAAGGAAAAUAGCCCAUGUUUCGAACUUUUUUUUUUUUUUGGUAGGCCCUCAUAUUAUGCUGCUCUGAAUCAUGUCAACCUUCCAAAAUCCAACUUUAAUCUUGAUGAAGUGCUGCUUCAGAUUUAAGAAAACAAAGAAAAAAAUGGAGGAAUUGAAAAAAUUACAUAUAAAUUACCCAUGUAUAAAAUACAUUUGGCCCAUCAGAGCUCUAGUUUUGGAUUGUCUCUGCUCUCAGUUUUGAUUUCAAAGUUUCAACCAAAACUUAGUAUCAUGCUUUGUUCUCAAGCUUAUGGCAUGCUCUAAAAUCAUAUAUAUUUGUUUAUUUAUUGUACAAUAAUUUUCAUGAGAUGCAGUUGUUGAUUUCUUUUUUGAAAUAUUGUGGACUUUGAAUUGAUUGUGGAUGUAGUAUAAGUUAUUUUGAAACUUCAUAAUUGCAUCUGCUCCUUGUCUAACUUCCUUAAGAAAAUGUAUUAUUGCAUUACUAUAUUUGUUUUAUAAUGGACAUUCCAAAAGUCUGUGUCGUUGGCCAAUCUUCAAGAUGGUUAAGCUAAAAUAAGGACUAAAAUGUUAAUGCAAACACUGCUUUGCAGUUUGAUGAUAUCCUUUGCUUUAUCAAAAUAUCUAUUGGCCCUGAAGAUUGUCAUACUAACUAUUUCUCCAUUUUUGGUUGUCACAUAUAUGGCUUGUCCGAAUGAUUGAUGUGAGGUUUUAACAAAUGUGCUUAUGAAGAAUAAAUGUGACAUUCUCCUAUAGCAUGUGCAUCAAUAAUUAUUUUGCAUUUGGUGAUAUUCUUUGGUUUAAUUGUGGUGUACACAGGACAUAAUUGUUUGAUAAAUUGUUUCUUAAAAUGUAUGGUGUGAGUAUUUUAUGUAUAUAUGAAUUGCAAAAGAAAUUUUAUUUAUAAUUAGUCAUGGAUUAAUGCUUGAACUAAGGGUUCAAAUGAAUAAUUGUCGAACUAUGCUGACCCGGCUAGUUCGGGGCAUAUCUAACCAGAUCGGUUGGUUAUCGACACAGUUUAGCCCAUACAUUCGAGACAUGAGGGUUCAUUUGAUGGUUUGGGGGUUUUGUUCGAGGUGUCUCUUGGUGACUCCUGGUUGCUCGCUUUUGUAUUGCCCUCGCUGAUCGAUGAUCGUUGGACGAAAGACUCUCCUCCCUCUCUCCUUCCUCCUCCCUCCUACUGUUCCACCCUCAAUGACACUGCCAUCUUCUUGUUGAGCAUGGCUUGCAUGUCUAACAACACGAUAGUUGCAUCUUAAGCCAUCUCCUCGGAGGUCAGAGCUCACAUCUCCACCCUCUCGAUGGCCUCGAUCUCUCUCUCACUCUCUUCUCCCUCCCUUUCUCUCCCUCUCCUUCCCCCUUUCCCUCUCCCUCCAUCUCUCUUCCUUCCUGCUCCCUCUCGUUGUUUCGGAAUGCUUCAGAGUAACACGCCAUAGAUUUGUGCCAUACAAUUCUAGAAGCCAACUAGUAUAGGUCACAGUAGCGGUUCGACAAACCUUGUUCAAACCUUGGUAUUGGGGCUUUCUUGAUAUGCUCUUAGGAUGGUAUGGUCAUGGGAUGAUUGCGGGUUCAAAAUGAACCGAGAAUUAGUAAUAAUAAUAAUAAUAAAGAAAAUAUAAAAAAAUAGCCCGGUGUCUCCCAGGCAUUCUACUGCAUCCCAAGUUUUAGGGUGCAACCGAGAUACUUCAGACAUUGCAAUUCUAGAGAGAACCUUUGUCUUGCAUGGUUGCACCCUUCUCGCAUUUUCCUGUUGGAAUAGUGUAGUAUCAAGGACACCAUCCAUCCCAAUCAGGGUUUGCCGUACCGGGCCAAACCGUCCCGGUACGGGGCGUACCGAGCCAGACUGGUCCCUUACCGGUCCGGUUCGGGCCCAUAUCGCCCGGAACCGGACGGUAUAGCUCGGUUCGCCAUCGGUUCGGGGUGAACCGAACCGUACCGCCCAGGGGACCAUUUCAUAUGGGGNNNNNNNNNNNNNNNNNNNNUUAAAAAAUUAUUUUUUUAAUUAUUUAAAUUAAAAAAAUUAAUUAUAAAAUAAAAAAUAUAUAAAAAUAGUGUUAUAUUUUAGUUAAUUUAAAAAUAUUAUUUGAAGCAUAUAACAUAUCUGUUUUGAAUUUAUAAGUUUUAAAAUAAUUAUUAAAAUUAUUUUAAAAUUAUAUAUAAUUAUUUUAAUUAUCAUUAAACUAUCGUGUUUUGUUAUACUUGCAUAUAUUUUAAUUAUAUAUAUAUACUGCGGACGAUCUUGCACGUGGAGUAGGGUCUAUGGAUGUAUCUGGAUCAUCCUCGCUUUAUGGAUCCUAUUAUCCACAACCACUUUAUGAUCCAUAUGCAUAUGGUGCAUCCAAGGCAUCUUCUAGUGGUUACCAUCCUAUGCAGCCUCGAGCAUCUUACGGAUCAGAUUUUGCUACUGGCAUAUUUGGAUGGGCUCCUCAACCGUACCAUCAUCUAGAGGAUACUUCUCAGAGUCAGAAUUUUAGCGAGAGGUCUGAGAUGUCUUACAAUCUAGAGAGGAUGCCUUAUGGGAUGAUGAAUAUUCGAGUGUACAGUGCAGCUUGGUUAGAGGGUUGGACUGAUAUCCCUUCAGACUAUGUUGAUGAUCCAAACAUCUACGAGCGUCACAAACACUUGACAAGAAAUUAAAUACACAGUACAUCUUAAGGUUCGUAUGUCAGUUAUUGCGCUUUGUACUUAAAUAUUUAGAUAUAUUUUAAUGCGUAUUUUAUAUAUUUUUUUUUAGUUUUAAGAUAACAUAGUUGAAAUAUAAUGUAAAUAAAUAUAUGUUUGAAAUUUUGGAUCAAGAGUUUUUGUACCGCAACCUAACUCCAAAUUGAACCCAAAUAUGUUAAUAAUAUGCAAUAUAAUGCCAUAUUGAGGUUAUAUUUAUCAAUUAUUAACUUUAAAAAUUUAAAAAAAAUUAAAAAUAAAAAAAAUAUUGUGUAUCGGUAUCGGACCGGUACGUCUAGACGUACCGUGUGUCGGUACGGUACCGGUACCAUACCGUACCGGUCCAGUACCGAUACAGCGAACCUUGAUCCCAAUGGUACGUAAAUUCUUGUCUUGGGUAGAUUUAAUUUUUGAAAAUCGACUAUGCGCUUGAUUUUCUUGGUUUACUUGGAAUGGGUUCAUCUUUGAGUUGUCAAUCUAAAUAAACUAUUAUAUCAUUUAUUUUUCUUUGAACUAUUAGUUUGCCAAAUGGAAAUGUUUAUUUUAUAUUAGUUUUAGAGGUUCUCCUUUCAUGUUCAAAAUUGUUUGAUGAUUAUUUCUUAGGAUUCUCAAGAUUGUGUUAUGCGGUCUUUUAUUAAUUCAUAUUUAUAUGUGGUAAGGAUUCAGGUCUCAGCUUGUGGUGGAUCCAGAAAUUUUGCUUUAUGGGGUCAAUAUAAUAAAAGAAGCGGAGGGGUUGUGAAAAAGAAAGAAAGAAAAAAAAAUAAAAUAUUAUUUUUUAAAAAUAAUAAAAUACAUAAAAAGAAUAAUAUAUAAUAUUUUAAUAUUUUUUAUAAUAAAAUAUUAUAAAGAAGCAUCAUAGCUAAAUCAUAGAUAUUAUUAAAUGUUAAAAUUAUAAUGGCUAAUCAAAAUUUAUUCUGAUCAUAUAUAUUUUAUAUGAGUGAAAAAAGAGAAAACUGAGAAAACUGAAAGAAUGUUAUAAAAAAAAAAAGCUAAAAGGGACAUACCUAAUCCAAAAAAAACCCCACAUCAAUUUAUUGGCUUUUCUUACUUAUAUAUAUAUAUAUAUAUAUGUCUAAUGUUGUGGGGUCAAUUUUGACUUUUUCCACGGAUCGGUGUGGCUUUUCUACUAGUAUAUACGCACGGGGGCAACUUUUUUUUUGUGGGGUCAAUUGACCCCACAUUUUUCUCAAAUGGAUCCACCAUUAGUCCCAAUGGGAUGUGCCGUGGGACAUCAGGAUGAGGUAUUAUCCCACGUGUCAGGACAGGACCGUCCCGUUAGCAUCUCACCAUCCCGAUCAAGACGUCUUGGGACAUCCUCUACCCCAAGUGUUGGGACGGGGCGGGAUGAUGAUGCGUCCCAUUCCAUAGAAAAACUGAGAUAGCCCCAUCCCAGGAGAUUUAAAACCUUGAUAUGCACAAUCCUGAUUUUCCCUCAUUCAUUACUUCUCAUGAAAUUCAACUGAAACCAUGGUAGUUAAUGAUUUGCAAAUCAGUUCUUGUAUGAAAUAUAUAUCUGAUUGGAUAUGCGUAAUUUUACUUGCAGGAUGAAGUCAAGCAUCUGGCUGAAUUGUUUCUUAUGUAUAUUAUGAAGAAUCAUCAUUUUAGUUUGGGAUCAGAAACUUUAUUGGAAGGCUUCAUUAUUUCACUGGUAAAAAAUAAACGCCAUUGUGUAGAUUUUGGUGAAAUGCAUAAGGAUUCCAAUGUCCUACUGUUCUGUCUGUAAGAUCAUUUAUCGUAGUUCUUAUGUUCACUAUGUGUAUGUGGAAUUAUAGCAGUAGUGUUGGUAGCAAGGUUCAACCAGAACCAAACUGAAGCUAACUAGUUGGAAAUUUUUUAGGUCAAAAAUAAUUUAAAUCAAAGUAUUACAAGGACUUACAUUCAGAAAAUUUUGUAAAUCUUUGAAUUCAUUGACAAAAUUGUCUGUUUAGAUUUUAGAGAAAAUGAGACAUAAAACUCAAGCUUAUGAGCAAUGUAUUGAUGUUCAUUAUUUAAUAUGUUUCUCUUUUUCAAUUUGAAUAUUGCAAACCUGCAAACUAGAAUGCGAGGUAUACAACAAAACUAAGUGGUCAGCAAUUGAAAAAUGUCAUAAUCACAUCAAACAGUUGCAAAACUUGCCAUGUGUAAUCUAUCGUCUCUUAAAUAAUUUUAGUUAGAUUUCUGAAGUUGGAGUGUUUCAUGAUAAUCCUUACUACCAUUUCAGCAUCCUAAACACUGCGGCUAAAAGUAUCUACAUUGUCCAUGUUCAAAGCAUUUUCAAAUAUGGCACAUGGUUUGUUAGCUAAAAUUAUCUUCUGUGUAUGUUGAAUUAUAGCUGGAGUAGUGUUGGUAGCAAGGUUCAACCAGAACCAAACUGAAGCAAACUAGUUGGAAAUUUUUUAGGUCAAAAAUAAUUUAAAUCGAAGUAUUACAAGGACUUAAAUUCAGAAAAUUUUGUAAAUCUUUGAAUUCAUUGACAAAAUGGUUUGUUUAGAUUUUAGAGAAAAUGAGACAUGAAACUCAAGCUUAUGAGCAAUGUAUUGAUGUUCAUUAUGUUUCUCUUUUUCAAUUUGAAUAUUGCUUUCCUGCAAACUAGAAUGCGAGAUAUACAACAAAACUAAGUGGUCAGCAAUUGAAAAAUGUCAUAAUCACAUCAAACAGUUGCAAAACUUGCCAUGUGUAAUCUAUCAUCUCUUGAAUAAUUUCAGUUAGAUUUCUGAAGGAGUGUUUCAUGAUAAUCUUUACUAUCAUUUUAGCAUCCUAAACACGAGCGGCUAAAAGUAUCUGCAUUUGUCCAUGUUCAAAGCAUUUUCAAAUAUGGCACAUGGCUUGUUAGCUAAAAUUAUCUUGUGUGUAUGUUGAAUUAUAGCUGGAGUAGUGUUGGUAGCAAGGUUCAACCAGAACCAAACUUAAGCAAACUAGUUGGAAAUUUUUUGGGUCAAAAAUAAUUGAAAUCAAAGUAUUACAUGGACUUAAAUUCAGAAAAUUUUAUAAAUCUUUGAAUUCAUUGACAAAAUGGCCUGUUUAGAUUUUAGAGAAAAUGAGGCAUGAAACUCAAGCUUAUGAGCAAUGUAUUGAUGUUCAUUAUUUAAUAUGUUUCUCUUUUUCAAUUCAACUAUUGCAAACCUGCAAACUAGAAUGCGAGGUAUACAACAAAACUAAGUGGUCAGCAAUUGAAAAAUGUCAUAAUCGCAUCAAAUAGUUGCAAAACUUGCCAUGUGUAAUCUAUCAUCUCUUAAAUAAUUUCAGUUAGAUUUUUGAAGAUGGAGUCCAUGGAAUGCUGUACUAUGCUGAAUCGACUGGUACAUCCCGUACCGAGCUAGACUGGCGGGGAACUUGCAUGGUUCGGCCGGUUCAAAUGGUAUACUGGUGGAGGGAGGGAAAAAGAGGGAAAGAGAGAGGAGAGGGAGGUGGGAGCCGUUGGAGGCCGACAGUGGUCCGCUUCGGCCGUCGAAAGGCCGCGGAAGCGUCCGUGGCUUGUUGGUUCGCCUAAUAGGGCUUUGAAAUGAGCGAGAAAGAGGGGCAGAUCAUUGGAGAUGGGAGCGGAUGGCAUCACGGUCGCAGAUGUGGGCUUCGCUGGGGGGGUUGGCGGAAGCGGCGUGGGCGGCAUCGUGAUCGUGGAACAGGGGCUGUCGCCCUUGUUCAUGCAUCCCCUUUUUUAAAAAUGAAGAUCAACCGUGAAGCCGGCAAACUAUUUGCCGGCUUCACUGUUUAAAUAUUUUUUUAAAAAAAUUAAAAUCAAUGAAGCCGGCAAACCAUUUGCCGGCUUCACUUAAGUUUUGAUUUUUUUAAAAAAAUAAUGAAACAGGGAUGUCGUCUCUGUUUCACGUUUGCGGCGCCGUGCGUGUGGAUUGCGCCAUUCGACGGCCACGACAGCCAUCCCGAGUCCGUCCGACGGCCCUUCCCUCUCCUUCCUCUCCCUCCUUUUCUUUCUUCCUCCCUCUCUCUCUCUUUCUCUCUUUUUCUUCUCUCGAUUCGGGUCCGGUGCCUUCUUUCUUCCUCCCUCUCUCUCUUUCUCUCUUUUUCUUCUCUCGAUUCGGGUCCGGUGCCUUCGUGGGUUCGCUUUCAGUUUGGUACAGUAUGGAACCGUACCGAACCAUACCGCCGGCUGGCCGAAAUGGCCGUCGGUACCGAGAUGGCAAAUCUUGAUGGAAUGUUUCAUGAUAAUCCUUAUUAUCAUUUCAGCAUCCUAAACACUGUUGCUAAAAGUAUCUGCAUUUGUCCAUGUUCAAAGCAUUUUCAAAUAUGGCACAUGGUUUGUUAGCUAAAAUUAUCUUUUGUGUAUGUUGAGUUAUAAUUGUAGUGUUAGUAGCAAGGUUCAACCAGAACCAAACUGGAGCAUACUAGUUGGAAAUUUUUUAGGUCAAAAAUAAUUUAAAUCAAAGUAUUACAAGGACUUAAAUUAAGAAAAUAUUGUAAAUCUUUGAAUUCAUUGACAAAAUGGUCUGCUUAGAUUUUAGAGAAAAUAAGACAUGAAAUUCAAGCUUAUGAGUUAAGGUUCGUGGACUCGAUAUCAGAAUCUGUAUUGGUUGUCAAUCGAUACGGUAUCAUACCAUACCGGAUAUAAAAAAAAAAUCAAAAAAAAUCUCACCUAACAACAAAAAAAAGAAAAAAAAAUCGUGCCGAACCGGCUCCGAACCAGACCAAACCACCCAAUAUCAGGCGGUUCGAGUUGAUACUGUAUCGAACUGAUUAGUUCAGUCCGAUUCAGACUAUUUUUCAAAAAUCCAAUCUAAACCAGACCGGUUCUCCGGUGAUACGAUACGGUAUGGGGUGUACUAGUCGGUUUGGACGGAUACGGAAUACCUAUAUUCAAAGUUCACGGACUCGGUACUGAAAUCCGUAUCGAUUGUCGGUCGGUACGGUACGAUAUGAUAUCGGAUCGUACCGAUAAUAAAAAAUUCAGAAAAAAUUUCAUCCAACAGUCAAAAAAAAAAAAGAAAACUAAGGCAAACCGGACUGAAUCGGUACCGCACCGCAUCGCACCAAACCAAGCCGUUCGACAUCGGGUGGUUCAGGCCAAUACCAUGUCGAAUCGAUCGGUUUGGUCUGGUUCAGAUUAUUUUUCAGAAAACCAGCCUGAGCCGAAUCGGUUCCUCAUCGGUACAGUAUGGUACAGAACGUACCGAUCGGUUUGGGUCGGUACGGAAUACCAUGCCUGUAUUGAUGUUCAUUAUUUAAUAUGUUUUUCUUUUUCAAUUUGAAUAUUGCAAACCUGCAAACUAGAAUGCGAGGUAUACAACAAAGCUAUGUGGUCAGCAAUUGAAAAAUGUCGUAAUCACAUCAAACAGUUGCAAAACUUGCCAUGUGUAAUCUAUCAUCUCUUAAAUAAUUUCAGUUAGAUUUAUGAAGAUGGAGUAUUUCAUGAUAAUUCUUACUACCAUUUCAGCAUCCUAAACGUGGCGGCUAAAAGUAUCUGCAUUUGUCCAUGUUCAAUGCAUUUUCAAAUAUGGCACAUGGUUUUGUUAGCUAAAAUUAUCUUGUGUGGUCCUAAUAUAUAGUGAGAUUGUUGGCAUCCUGUGCACUACUGGGUGGAUUAGUGCAAAUUGUUUGUGGCACCAUAAUCGCAAACACCUAAGCAUCUUCCUUCUUAUAUGUUGAAUGAGAGUCACUGUAAUUGGACUCACUUUUGACUUGAACCAACCAUUACCUUGUUCAUAUGUAGGAGACAUAUGUCCAUGGUCAAAGCAUUUUCAAAUAUGGCACAUGGUUUGAUAGCUAAAAUUAACUUCUGUAUAGUCCUGAUACAUGGUGAGAUUGCUGGCCUCCUGUGCACUACUGGGUGGAUUAAUGCAAAUUGUUUGUGCCACUAAAAUCACAAACACCUAAGCAUCUCCCUUCUUAUUUGUUGAAUGGGAGUCACCGUAAUUUGACUCACUUUUGAGUUCAACUAACCAUUAGCUUGGUCAUAUGUAUGAGACAUAUUCUUCUUGUCCAAUGCUUCCAAAAUCAUCAUUCCUAUCCCCAUCACAAUGAUAAAUGAUUAGCAUGACCAUCAUCAUACUCAUUGUCAUCUAUAGUGCCAGCUAUCCUAAGGACACCUUUUAUUUGUCCCAGUUUGAUUACUCUUAGCUUUAAUUUAACUUGUUCCCUGUCAACUUUAUUCUCUAGCUCUAGUACAUUGGCUUGUUUCGACGUUAGCAAUAUCUUUUAGCAUCAAUGAGUCCUUCCCAUCUACUGUCGCUCCAAUCGUUCUCCAGUAGACUAAUACAAUUAUAAGUUGGUCAAACUUUUCUCUUAGUUAUGCGGCUUAUGCCAUUUAAAUUUUGUCCUCCUUUUGCAACCGCAUAUUAUGAUUUCAGUAUGUUAUUUUUUAUCUCCUUACUUCCAGUGGAAAAUGAUGACAAGGAAAAUUCUCUAGUUUUUCUUAGAUCCAUUUGAUAAUGUCACUUGGCUCCAAGUUCCAAUGUAAAAUCAUUGUAAUUCCUUAACCUCUUGCCUAUAGUGUUGCCCAUACCAAACCGAAACACCACAAAUGUAUCCAAUGGGACAUGAAGACCAUGGAGUCUGAUAAUUUUUUCUCCCUCUUCCUUGGCCUUUCCUUUCUUUUAUAAUUGCUUUUUCUUGUUUGUCACAUGUUGAAAAUAAAUUCCCUCAGAUCCAUGGGGGUGAUAAUGUGAUAGAGCAUUGGUUGCAUCAUAAAAAAGGACAUAUUUGUAACAUGUCCGUCUUCCUUAGCCUUUCUUUUCUCCCUUUUCCUUAGCUUUUCUUUUCUUUUAUAAUUGGUUUUCUUGUUUGUCACAUGUUGAAAACCAUUUCCCUCAAAUCCAUGGGGGUGAUGAUGUGAUAGAGCCUUGGUUGCGUCCUAAAAACGGACAUAUUUGUCCUUAUCUUUUCAACCUUCUUAUCAAGACAGAAGUCCAUGGCCUUGGAGGGGUGGGGAUAACACUUCCUCUUCCUAACUACUGAAUCAUGCUAAUCAUGAUGUGGAAAUAUGUUAAUGUUGCUAUAAAUGGAAGGAGCUCACCAGACCAAUCUAGUGCAUACGAACAAGCAACAAGUGUUUUCUCAACAUGCUUAUCCAUAAAAGCAUGAACUUGUUGCUAAUUUUGCUUCCUCCUAAAAACCUAUUGCCUUGUGUAUUCCUGCUUAUGCUGUUGAAUCAUUCAGUUUUUCUAUUAUAUUGGACUCUGUUACUCAAUUAUACCCACCACCAUUAUAUUGGAUCCCAAAAUAACACCCUUUAUUUCUUAUGCUUCCUUUUUCUCUUGUUUGCAAUAGACCAUUAGUCUUUAAAAUCAUACAUCCUCAUGCUUUUCAGUUCACAAAUUCAAAAGCUUGUAGCAUAUUUGAACCAAGCUUGCUAUGAUUUUCUUGACUUGUACGCCUUCUUUUCCCAAAAUAUUCCAUCACUUUCAUCAUCUCCUCAGGUGUUUCAGGUUAAUUAGGCACCAUUGUGGAUCUUGUAACGAAAAUUUUCGUCAAUCUAAGAGGCAAGCUUUCACACUAAAUAAUAACCUCAGUACUUGCAUUCAAGUAAAACCUGUUUGAUAUAUCCAAGGUUGUAUGUCAGAAAGGGAACCUUUGACCUUUAAACAGGAGACUAACAAUCAAAUAAGCAACAGAGUCAUAUUUCAAUAGAAAAAUUGUGGGCGAAAAUUUAAUAUGCCAAGCAAGACUAAAUGCCAAUAUCGGUUGGGGAUCAGGUUAGCGCCGUGCUGGAAUAGUACUUUAUUGGCACAUGGGACAUGUUAGAACUGUGAGGGAAGCAGGUGGAGGGGAAGCUGAUGGAGUAAACAGAGGAUGGGGAGCCAGCAAGGCAGGGAAAUGGAGGGGAAGCUGUAGGAAAAAUGAGGGUUAAAAAAAAAAACAAACUGAACUGCAUUGUCCACCAUCCAGUACCAUCCGCUACUGUUUUACUUGAUUUAUUCAUGAUAGCUUUGGAGGUUUGAAAUGGACAUUGUAUUCCAAUUUGAUUCCUUUGGUAUUUGAUUUGUGCCCCAACAAUUAGCGCUCCAGGAUUCAUGGCAUGCCCUAAUUUACCUUGGCUAGGAAGUUGGCACCUAUUUGAUUUGACAUAAGGUUUAUGGGUCGUUAUCCAUUCUUAUAGUUAGCAUAUCAUACUUUGAUCCUAUAAAACCGAGUUGAAUAGAUGGGAAAAUGCAUACUUCAGUUGAUGUUUCAGUGCUAAUUUUUUGUUUUUCCCUUUUUCCUGACUAUAAAUGCCAUCAUCACCGAAUAAUGCUUCCACCAUGUUGUUAGAUGUAGCCAUACCAGUUCCAGGUAUGGCAUACCUAGAUUGGGCAUCAUACAAGGUACUGCAGCACAUCAACUAAUAUCUAGCAUUGGGGUAAUUUUGGCGAUGACAGUUUAACAAUGUGGCCUUGUCAUGGUGUCACCUGAUAUAUAAUUAUUGCCAACAAUAUCUGAUGAAGUUGUCCUCCUUUUCCCAUGGGCGUUUUAUUUUUUUUACCUUUUUACUUGAAUAUUGGAACUUUGAUAUUUGCUGUAUUUUUGUAUCCCUAACUUCUUAAACUUCUGCUGUAAAACUUUUUAGUGUUGGAUGGCAGCAUCUUUGCAAAAGCACAAGAUCAACCACAAGGAAUCACUUGCUCUUGCAAAGAGGUAUUUAAACUUUGAGUGCAAAGAGCAAGAGGUGGAGCUAGUUUACGCAAAAUUAAAGUUUCUAAAAGAUUUUUUUUCUCAUCCAUCUGGUGUGUCAGAAAAUACUGUUCAACCAAAUUCUCUAAUGAUUGAGACAUUUUUUCCAAAACAUGACAUUCAUAAAGGCAUCAUACAUGAAGAAAUUUCAGGAAGAUCAUCAUCUGAUCAUCAUGUAAUGGAGAAAUGCGAGAUAAGAGUGUGUGAGUCAUCUGUUCCAGAAAACAACACUGCUAAAGAUUUCAUGCAUGAAGUUAAUUUGAAGAAGACACUAUCUGAUGAUGAAGUUCUGGAAGAAGGCGAAAUCAGAGAGAGUCUAUCAUCAAUGCCUAGCAAAUAUGCUGUUAUAUACAUCAUGCAUGAUGAUAGUUCAGAGACUGCAUCAUAUGGUGAUGAGAAAAUGAAAGAAGGUGAAAUAAGGAAGGAUCUGACAUCUAUGCAAGCACAAAAUGUUUUCAGAUGUGUUGUACAUGAAGACAGUUCAAAAAUUGUACCUUUUGAUCAUGAAGGAAUAGGAGAAGCUAGUAUUAGAAUGGGUCAGUUAUCUGUUCCUGUAAAUGAUGACAUUAAGGACAACAUGUGUAAAACUGGUCCAAAACUAACAUCAAUGGAUGGUGAACUGGAGAAAGAUGAGAUCAGAAAGAGUCCUGUCGGUCAUACGCCCUCUGAGCAACAAAAUUUGGUGAAUAGAUUCAGUCAGUCAUCUGUGCCUGGAAAUGAUGAUCAUAAAGAUUGCAUGCAUGAAACUAGUCCAAAAUUAACAUUGUUGGAUGACGAACUAGAGGAAGGUGAGUUAGGAAAGAGUCCUGUUGCACAUAUGCCUUGUGUACAACUAAAUUUGGUGCAGCAGGAGCAGAAUUCUAUCCUUGAAACUCCUUUAGUAAAGACUCACCAGCAAAUUAAGUCAUUGAAGGAUGAGCUCUUGAAGAAACAAAUGGAUCUGAUUGAUAGAAUUUGUUCAAGAAGGUUAGAUGAACUCCUUUUAAGGCAAAAUAUAGAGCUGCUAGAAUUCAAAAUUAUGAGAGAUGAGCAAAAGAUGGAAUUGAUUAAAAUUCAUAAUUUGG
rnacentral:lncRNA from 1 species